AAUUCAAUACAACAGGUUAGAAUAAAUUCCAUAUCAGCUGCAAAACCAAAGGCAAGAAAUUUUGGGCCUCACAAGGUGAAGUGAAAGAUACUGGGCUUAGGGCAUAACCCUUGCACUUUUAACUGAGAUCUAGAAAGAUUUGGCUACUAGAUAUAACGUCUUAAAGCUUGAUGCUCAAAAGUCAAGCUUUGAAAGCUCAAUGUUAUAACUACAGUUUUACUGAGGCAAAACACAAAUAAAAUACCUAUACCACGAAUAAAAAUGAGCAUGUUCUCAAGUUUAUGGCAUAACUUCGUUUCUCAGUAUUUGGUCCCUAGCUUUAACCAGAUAUUCUACAAUGCAAGCCUUUACAAGAUGGCAUUAAGAACAUUGACAAAGCUCCUAUCGCUAUAAUGCUAUUGUGCCUAUGUGUGGAUGUUUCAAGAGGAAGGUGAAAGAAAAUAAUAGAAUGUAAAAUAAACAGUAUAGAAAAGAAUAUUUAAUUUUUGAAUACACAAGUUAAUUCAUAAAUCAUAAAUUAUCUUAAAUUGCUUCAAGCACCAAACAAUUAUAUUGUGGAUUGGCACCAAAUGAGAGGGUGUUGUCUAGACUUCAUCAGGUCAGAACGCUUUCCAUGAUACUAAUGGUAAAAUUACGGUGAAGCAGGAAAAUAUUCGGAAAAGCUACAAACCUUAAACUUGCAAUCAAAAACUUAAAACCGUAUGUUAGUCUCAUCACUCGACAGUGAGGAGCAUGUGCCGAGCACAAUGAUGAAAUAAAAUCAUAUACAUUUCUUAACACCAUAUGUUAGUCUCAUCACUCGACAGUGAGGAGCAUGUGCCGAGCACAAUGAUGAAAUAAAAUCAUAUACAUUUCUUAACAUAGUUAAUCAACCAAUGAAAACAAAAAGGACAACGUAAAUAAGUCAGUCAUAACCUAAAUUCAAAUAAGUAUCUUAUUCAGAGCAAAACUUUACCAUAGGGCUAGUUAAGUAAAAUCAUUUGAUAUAAAAAUAAAAAAAAAAAGAACCGAUUGAGCCCGCCUCAAAGUGAGGAGUGACGAAAAUGCCUCAAGGCUGAGGUAGUUUGGAGGCAUACUCCUCACAGCACCACCUCAAGGUUUGUGGCCCAUAAACCAUAAAAGUUUUUACUGAUCCAUACCGAAAGUAGUCCACUACCCAUUAAAACAUCAAAAUAUUUCUCGUAGACCCACUUUGAAAAUAGUCUACUGCACCAGCUAACUUCAAUAAUAGUUUCCUUAUAGAUUUUUCUUUUAAGUGUUUGCACGCUUAAAAUUAUUUUAUUAUAAAUUUUGAAUAUUGUUUACGAUGUAUUACGAGUUUAUAUGGCAAUUUAAUAAUUUUCUGAUGUUUUGGGGAUUAUUGUGAGGCUUAUGACUCCAACCGCCAAGAGGAUUACGUCUUGCCUAACGAAAGAAAAAAGGUCUCAAUACUAGUUUAUGCCUUUGUAAAUAUUGAGUAAAACAAAUGAAGCAUCAAAAAUCAUACAGGAGUAGGCUCUUCUUCAUCUUCCCAAGAUUCCUUCACAUCAUUAUCAUCCAAAUCUUCAUCAUCCCAUUUACUCUUCAGUUGCUCCUUUUUCAUAAGAUCUGUAAUAGGCUCCUCCUCUGAAACACAAAACAAGAUGAUUAGAAUCCACCAAACAUAUACUUCAAAGUGCACUUAAAGAAAAAAAUGAACCUUGUAGUAGCCAAUACACCCAAGGAAAAUAAAAUCCUAUAAGAUCUUCAUCGCAAAAACAUGAAAGCAUGUAGUCUAAAGGCUUUACUUAUUUGCCAAACGAGAUGUAACAUGUUUGAUUAUGCACUUUCUGAACACCACACAAAAGGUAAAGGGACUUAAAUUGACAUAAUGGAAAAAAAAUUGCCAUCACCUUAGUCCAGGGACACCUAAAAGGAUGUCUAUCAGCUCUCCAAUUAAAACUAAAAAGUCAGGAAAGCGCAAUCACGAGAAAAAAUAAAAAUAAAAACUAUGGAAAACUAAAAAUUUACAGUGUCAAGUUAAGAUUUCAAUCUUCCAUGAAAAAUAGAGCUAGUAAACAUUAAUUUCAAUGUACAACACAAGAAACUAAUAGAUCAUGGCAUACUAAUAAAAGCCAGAAGUAAUUAUAAAAAAGAUUGGAUCAACAUCAUGUUCUAUUAUAUAAGGAGAUUGGGAUUGGAACUGGGAAUAUUAAACUCAAAAGUAAUAAUCUUUCUUCCCCCUAAAAACCAAUACCAUUUCCCAAUUUACAUGCACAAAAAUAAUAAUAAUAAUAAUAAUAAUAAUAAUAAUAAUAAUAAAACCCGAUUAACAAGACUGAUAUUUAUAGAGAAAAUCAAGAUAGCAAUAUGCAAGAUCUAGAAAAAAAAGUAAUGGAACGAAAAUUAAAAAGAUUCACAAAAAAGCAUUUACCCCAGUCCUCCAUCAAUUAUCGCUUCUUCUGACCUCCGCAAGAGACUUCAAAAUUGAUAACUGCGAGAAUAGCCAAAAUAUUAUUCUUAUAAGUUUCAAGAAAAAAUUUUCAAAUAAAACCCUACAUUCAGUCAAAUUUCGCAAAUUACGGAUGCGUAAACGACAGGGAUUAUCAGAAGACAAAAACCAUUACACUAAUUGAAAAAAAGAAAAAAGAAAAAAAAAAGGACUAAUCGAAAUUACAACCCCACAGUUCAACAUAAAUAUUUACUUUCAAAAUAAGAAAUAAACCUUUUAUAGAAGCGAAAACCCUAAUAAAAUCGUUGAGAAAAAGACCCCUAAUUGAAGUAAGGCAAGGGACGCUUGGCACGCCUACAAGCGAGAGAAAGAUGCACAGAGAGAGAAAAGUAGAAAGGCAAGAAGAAGAUUCUAGACCCAGUAUUCUGAUAAAAUAUUGAGGAAUUUGGCCAAACAACUGGACUGGGGAGGAGAAAUUUGGACAAACAACCGGGAUAGAGAGAGAGUUUUGUGGCCUUUAAUCAACAUUAAAGAAAAUUCAAAAUAUUUUAAGGUGCUAUUAUUAUACCAGUAAUUAUGAAUGUUCUCUAUAUCUCCGUAGCUUUUAGUCAUUAUAACUGUUUUAUUCUAAUUCUUGAUAAAAUACAUAAAUUUAUUAGAGCCUGUUUGGGAGUAAUUUUGAGAAUUAAUUUUUUGAUCGUUAAGAGAAAAGUGGAAUCCACUUGUAAGAGAAGAAGUCAAAUAUGACGAUUGAAUUAGUGAAAUAACGGUCAAAAAAUCAAUUUUUUAGGGAAAAAUCAUUCCCAAACAGGCUCUUAGUUUAUUAUUUUAUUUUUUUUGCUCUUUCUUUUUUCUCUUGUUUAUAAUAUGUUAUUUGCACGAGUCUCUCAAAAUUAAAGUGAAUUAAUUAGAAGACAAUAUUUUUUAUAAGCAUAAUCAUCUAUCAUGUGUAUCGAAAUUAAUACGAUGACAUGUAAAUUUUUUCUACAAACAUAUGCAUCAUAACAAAUUUACUACAACUAUUUUUUGCAAUUAAUAAUAUGCAUAAUUUCUUUUCGCUGCUAAAUCACGUUAUUUCUUCAUUGUUUGGAUUUGAUUUCAAUCUAUGAAUUUUGGUCUAUUGAUUCUUGGUCUGCCUUCUAUUAGAUGCGGACUAUAUGGUCUGCAAUCUCAAAAUUCGUAGAGAAAUCAAAAUUUUCAAUCCACGUGUUAUUUAUAGCCCGUUUAGGCCCCAUUAUUUCAAAUUAUAAUUUUUUUCUCUUUUAUUUUUAACUACAUAAUUUUUCAUAAAAAAAAUAUAUAUUACAUGUAAAAUAAAAAAAAAUCAUUCUUUUUCAACUACACAUUUUUCAAAAAAUACUAAUUCAAAAUUUUUAAAUUGAAAUAAUGAGCCAAACGGGGAUUUAAUCUCAACCUCCACAUUCAAUUCUCUAUUUCCAAUGCAUAUCCGGUGUCUACGAAUAUACCAAUCUAUAAUAUAUUAUAAUAUCAUAUUAAGGGAGAACCAUUUUUUAGACCUUUUUAACCCUCUUAUAAUUUAAUUAUUUCAAUAAUAUCUUACUUUUCGUUUUUUGAUAUGUAAUAAAUACUACAUAAUUAUUGUUAUUUAUGAAAUUUGUGUUAUUAACUCUAAAUUAAUUACAUUUACAUUAACCUAGAUUCAAUGAAUUUUCACUUGAUGGAUCUUGAAUUAUAGAUGAAUUUAUUUAUAUUCAUGCAUCUAGAAAUGUUAAUAGUGUUUAAAUUUAUGUAUUAACAAUUAAUUUUUAUGUAUCAAAUGUAAUCUAAAAAGAUUACUCAUCUAUAAUAAUUCAUAUUACAAAAAAAUUGAAUUAUAGAAAUUGAUUUUUGAGAAUACAAUUUUUGUGCAAUUUUCUUCUAUUAAAUUUCUAUGCUAAAUUUUAUUUUUUUUAAUUCGUCCGAGACUCAUCGAAUCCUUCAGCAAAUUGGUUCCAAAUAUUACUUUUACAUCAGUUAUAAAGUAUUUUAGAAUAACGUGUAAUACACGUUCAACUUUAACUAGUUAACCAAAGCCUCGCUUAUCUACUUCUUUGCUUCUUACCAUUGUAUGCUUUUGGUGUGCAUACAUGUGCAUCUUUAAAGCCUUCCAAUUAAUAAUAUUAUAAUAAUUUUUUCUAGUGGUUAAUUUAAGCAAUUAUUGUACCUUUUUUUAUAUUGGUCUGAUCACUCUUCACUUCUUUUAACCUGAUUAAAUAUUUUUAUAUGUUGUUUAUAAACAUUAAAUUGAUAAUAUAUCAUGUUGUUGCUUUUGAAGAAGCACAACUCUUCAAAUAAUUAAUAUUCUAUUAUAAAAUAUACUCUGAGAAGUUAAUAUUAAUAAAUAAUAGAUUUUUUGUGUUUCUGAAGUUGCAUAGUAUUAUUAAUAUUCUAAAAGAAUAUUAGUUGCUCAAGAAAGUAUGAUAUUAUAAUUUCAAUAUUUUAUAAAAAUAUUGAUCGAUUUUUAUGUAAAAUCACGAAUUAAAUUACUUCAUUUCUUUAUAUAUCCAUUCUUCUGCAUACAUAUAUACAUAUUGAUAUUUAAGUUAAAUUUUACCUUCUCCAAAAAAGUAUAAUUAAAUACGAUCUAACAUAAAUUAUAUUUUUAUUCCUGAAGAGUAAUUCCUUGUGUAAUUUAUAAUAAUAAUAUGUGAUUGCUCCUGGAAAGCAUGAAUUAUAAUAUUCAAUAUCUUAGAAAAAUAUUGACAUAUUACUCUUAAAGAAGCAAUAAUAAAAUAUAACAUUUUCUCGAAGUAGCCACCUCUCAAAGAAUUUUAUCUCGUUAUGUUCCUUAAACAAAUACAAAUUAAACAAUUCAAUAUUGAUUGUAAUUUUAAAUGAAAACAUUUUUAUUUUAUUUUAUUAAUAUUCAAGAAGAAAUCACUCCAGAAGAGCAUGCAAUUCGAUAUUUUAAUAUUCUCAAAUAAUAUCAUAUUAGAACUUUUGAAAAAGCAUAAAUCUUGAAAUACUAAUAAGAUAUAAACAAGAUUAUCAAGAUAUCUGUUUAGUAAAUGCACACAAUUCUUCAAAAUAAAAGUACUUCUUAAAAUUUAAAAUUAGCAGAAAAAUAAUAUUAAUAUUCUAUCAGGUGCAUCGAAUGCUGUUGAAGGCUUUAUUAAUAUGCUAUCAGGUGCAUCGAAUGCUGUUGAAGGCUUUGAAGGACUCGUAUUGUUUUAUUAAAUAAGACAAAAUUAUAUAUAGACGAUGCACUUUAUUCUAGCAUAUUCAAAAGAAAUUUGCUUAGUUUUAAAAUAUUCAUUACAAUGAAUAUCAUAUUGAAAUGAUGCAAGAACAAUAUAGAAUAUCUUCAUACUUCUGUUAUACCUGACCAGAAGCAUAUAAAAGAAAAAUUAUUAGCACUCUCUUUCAGCAUGCGCUACGCAUCCGUAAAAUUGACAUUAUCACCAACCCGAAGUUCGUUAAUUCUAUAGCGACUCUAUAUUUUAUGAAAGAAUUGUAUUAUUAUUUCGAAAUCAACAAUGUAGAAAUUUGUAGAAUUUGGACAAUUUGUAUCGCUGUGAUAAAAUAUUGCUAAUUCAGAGUGUUGUAGUCUGAUCGUCAUGAAAUUUGGAAAAACAUCCACAACUCAUUUGUUUCAAAUCUAACAGUUUCUAACAAAAUCCAGUGGUGCAUUUGUGAGAAAUAGUUAUGUGAACAAUAGAAAAUUUUUGAGUAUUAUAAUUUUUUCUAAUAAUUUUUACUUUUGAAGAAUAUGGAAUUUGUCAACCAUUUAAGGCUUUCUAAAACUUUCAAAUUAUACUCUUUAAAAGUAUUACUAUUUCUAUUAUAUAUUAUAUUAGUUGAAUAUUUUGAUUUAAUUUGCGUUCCUGAAAAAGCACAACUAGAAAUUAUAUUUGUAUUAAAUGAAUAUGGAAUUGAUGUUCUAGAAGGAAACACGAUCCACCUUAUGAAAAUGUUUCAUAAAGAAUAUUAUUUGCUUCUGAAGGGCAUGUCAUUAUAAUUUCAAUAUUCUAAAGGAAUAUUGAUAGAUUGGCCCAGAAGAAGCAAAAAUAAUACAAAUUAGUAUUCUUGAACAAUAUCGUAUUGUAUUCCUAAAAAAAGAACAAAUUUUACACAUUAGUAUAUUAAAAGAAUAUUGUGAUUAAUUUAAAUAUAUCAAUAUUCUUGAAAAAUAUUGUUAUUUUACUUGUGAAUAAUCAUAACUAGGUAUAUAUCAAUAUUCUAGAAUAAUAUUGUCUUAAUUUUAUAGAAGAGACAAGCCAACGUUAUGUGUGAGAAUAAAAUCUUAUUACCAAUAAUAAUUAUUCUCUACUAAAUUAAGAGAAACAUGCUAAAUUUCUAAAAUGUGAGAUACAAUUGAAACAAACACUAUAUUGAACCAGCAGUUUAAUUCGAUUUUAUUAUUUGACAUGACUAGUUGGACCAUCACUAUAUCAAUAAUGAUACGAAAUUAAAAAUUCAAAUGGACAUUAAACAAAGAACCAGAAAAUUGUUCAAUCCAAUGAAUUCAUAUGUGUUAAUUGUUCUAUUUAUUGAAAACUAAUAAUUAUGCCCCAAUUUGGCCUCCAUUAUGUCUUUUUUUUUUUUUGUUGUUGUUGUUGUUGUUGCAAAUUUUCAGUAUUCAUGUGACCUGCGUUCUGAAUUGAUUGAUGUUCCUAAUACUUAAUUGUAAACUUCUUUGAUCUGUAUUGUUGCAGUCACCUACUACUGCGACCGAAACUUACAUCUAAAUGAUAGUUUUUCUCCAGAUUUUUAUAAGAACAAAAUUUGGGUCGCUACAAUUUAUCCCAAUUUAUGUGCAUUAAAUGGCCAUGUAAUUAGUACGUUAGCAUAGCCUAGUCCAUGUUAGUUAGUUGUUGCCUUUGAAAUAUUGUGAGAUAAAAUAUGAUAUUCUUAAGUUACGUUUUGUCAUUUAAUCUUAUUAGGGUUAGUAGUCACAUAAAUCGUGAUUUAGAUAAGAUUUUAAUUUCCAUCAAAUGCACAAUAUCGCAAGAUAUAUUAUUAUGUUAUUGUAUUUGUGAGAAUUACUAUCGAUAUUGGGCUCGUUUAGUGCCUUAUAAUUAAUCAUGUAUACUAGGUUCGAGAAAAAGUCAAUUUGGAUAAGGACAAUCAAAUGAGAGCAAAUAAAAGAAAAUAGUGAUUAUUGAAUUUAUGAGGAAUUUCAUUCGUUAGUUAAUGAAAUUGGCCAGUUGAAUUCACGUGUGAGUUUGGGACUUCCAUUAUUAUUUGAGAUGAAAUUGACCAGUAGAAUUCACGUAUGUGUUUGAGACACCCGUUAUUAUUUGAGUUAAUUUUAUAUUAUCCUAAUGCUAACAAAUCUUUAUUGGAAGAGUUUGAAUUAAUGAUUAAUCGUAUUAGGAUAAAUAAGCUCAAAGUCCUAGACUAUUAAAACUCUCCUUGCACGUGUCCUCGUUUACCUUCACAAUUUAUUAUUUUCAUUCAUUUUUCUUUUAUAUAUACACACAAGCAUAAAUCGAAUAGUUCACAAAUAAAAACUCAAGUAAAGGAGACACACACAGUGUUCAAACCUUAAGAUUUUCAAAAGAGGUAGACUCAAACCCCCUUUUUAUUUGGAUUCAUGUUAUAUUCCAACAUAUAUAAAUGUGAUUAUAUGUUGUAUAUUGUUCCUUAGCUGGUGGCGUAGCAAUGCACCAGAAAUGUGAACUUGGUGGUGUAGUAUUGCACCAAAUGUUGGUAUGUCGCCUCAUAAUUGAUAUACUUAUAAAAAGUUUGAAUGACAUGAAUAUAUGCUCAAAAGUGUAAUAUGUGUGGAUUUAACGUGUGUUUGAGUCUAUUGAGUGUUUCUAUGAAAUAUUCAACACCUAAAACUUUAGAUUAAGGCAAUCAGUUAGAGUGUAGAAGAGGGGUGGUGCUUUGAUGUGAACUCCAAAAGACAUCAUUUGAGUCAUAUUUUAUUCGAAUGAUUAUUGAAAUUUUGAAUAUUUUAAUUUAGUAUUUCUUGAAAUCUUGAAGACUAAAUUGUUGAUGAAUUUUUUCAUAGUUGGUAGAAUAUUUUUAUUGUGGAUUAUUUAGUUCAUUUGAUUUGCAACACACUUUUCCGUCCCCAAGUUUAAAAAUUCACCUAGACCAAAAAUACUUGGAAUUUUGAGGUAAUUCGAGUUAGAAAAGAUAGCUAUAUGAUUUAUCUAUCUCUUAAAUUUGGAAUAAGAAAUUUGGUUGUAUAAAACUCAGUUUAUGGACAUUUUCCAGAGGGCUAUCAGAAUGUACUAGAUAACAAAUAGAUCUUUUGAAAACAAUUUUAGCCAUCUAUCAAUUGAAUUUGCAUACGAAAUUUUACUGUAAUUCCCCAAUGUGUAAGAUGUUUAAGUUUAAAUUUUUAAAAUUUUGGAUUUCAUUUAGUCGUUAAACAAAAUUUAUUUUAGAAAGCUAUACAAGCAGAAAAUCUAAACUUUCCAAAAGAUAUAUAUAUAUAUAUAUAUAUAUAGAUUCUUUUAAAGAAUAUCGAGACAGUAAAAGUAAAGAUAAACAUAUUUCAAAACCAUCUUCAUCAUCUCCGAUUUUCAAAAAUGACGAUAUCAUUCCUACUUUUGGAAAAUCUUCUCAAUCUCUUUCAACAGAAAACGAAGUUCUUUCUGAACUUGUUAAUCAAUUAAAAAAUUUUCAUGUUUCAAAAAAUAUUAAUACAAUUGAUUUUGAUGAAAUUGAAAAUCAAUUCUCUGACAGAAAAUUCGAUCAGAUCAAUAAACUCAGAAAUUCUGAUUAUCAAAAUCUUCCAAAAUUCUAUCCUCGUCCUUCAUUUCCUGAUCAACUUUUCGAAGAAAAGUUGCCUGCUCAAAGAUCAUACGAUGGUUCCUCUGGAGUUGAAUGGAAUAUUGAUGGUCUUACUGAACAUCAAAUUAUCAAUCUAUUGGGACAAAUGACUAUUUGUUACAAAACUUUUUUGGCAAAAGGAUCUACAAGGCUUCAAGCCACCAAUAAUAUUGUUCUUGGAUUCACAGGACAGCUUGGUCAAUGGUGGGAAAAUUAUCUCUCUUCCACUUCAAAACAAAUUAUUUUCUUUGCUGUCAAACGUGAUGAAAAUAAUAGUAUUAUUACAAAUGAAAAUGGAGAACCUAUUAAUGAUAGUUAUUCCGUUCUUGGAUUAGCUAUUAUCAAACAUUUCGUUGGUACUCCAGAAAAUUAUAUUCAAUUUCAAAAUGACAUUCUUAUGAAUUUAAGAUGUCCAAAACUUCAAGAUUUCCGAUGGUAUAAAGAUAUGUUUUUAACACGUAUCAUGCAAAGAGAAGAUUGUCAACAAUCUUUUUGGAAAGAAAAAUUUAUUUCAGGACUUCCAAAACUUUUUGCUGAAAAAGUGAAAAAUUCAAUUUUAGAAGAAAACAAUGAUCUUCAAAAUCUUACUUAUGGUGAAAUUAUUAAUUUCAUUAAUAAGGAAGCUCUCAAUUUAUGUAAUGAUUUAAAACUUAAAUCUAAAUUGAAAGCAAAAAAGGCUCAAACUCAAAAUGAGUUAGGAUCAUUCUGUGAACAAUAUGGAUUUGAGAAAAUCUUACCUCCUUCUUCAAGAACAAGAAAAACUUUUCACAAGAAAAGAUUUUCAAAAAGAAAAUAUUCUCCUGAAGAAAAUCUUUAUAAAAAGAAAUUUUCAAAAAGAAAACAAUUUUCUAAAAGAAAAUUUACGAAAGAUUUUCAAAAGAAAAAUUCAAAAGUUACAUGUUGGAAAUGUAACAAAACUGGUCAUUACUCCAAUAGAUGUCCUCUCAAAGAAAAAAUCAGUACUCUUCAAGUUGAUGAAGAUACUAAAAAUUAGCUUCUCAAUCUUAUUCAAUCUAAUUCUGAUAAUGAGUCUAACUCUGAAUUAGAACAAGUUUUUCUUAAUCAAGAAGAUUCUGAUUAUGAAUCUACUCAAAAUUCCGAUUCUUGCACUUCUUCAAACGAUAAAGAAAUUUGUGGUUGCAAAACCAUAAAUGUUUUAACAGGAGAAGAAGAAGUCAUUCAAAAUAUCAUUGAUAGGAUUGAUAAUCUUAAACUUAAAGAUAAAUUCUUAUCUUUACUCCAAUCUUCUACAUCAAAAGAAAAUUUUGAUGAUAUCAAUCUUACAAAUAUUCUUCGUCGUGCUCAAAAAGAAUUUUCAAAAGGUUCUAAACCUUCAAUUCCUGAUCUUCAAGGUGAAGUUAAGGAGAUGAAAUCUCAAAUUUCAAAACUUAAAAAACAUGUUCAAGAUAUUCGUAUGGAAAUAGUUUGUCUUAAAGCAAAAGAUUUAACCAACGAAUACUAUUCUCAAAACAAAGGAAAAUCCAAAGUUUCCUCAAAAACUCCUUCUCAUCGUUCUCAUCAUUCUGAAUCAUCUUCAUCAGAUUUUUCAUCUAUUUCAAAAUUUCCUCAAACUGAAGAAGAAAAGAUUAAUGUUAUUAAUCGAAUUCAGCUUCAGAAAUGGUACUGCAAUAUGACUAUUGUAGUCAACAAAGAAUUCAAAUUCACUACUCGCGUUUUGAUUGAUUCAGGUGCUGAUCAAAAUUGUAUCAAAGAAGGACUUAUCCCUACAAAAUAUUUUGAGAAAACUACUGAACGCCUUUAUGGUGCUAGUGGUAAAAAACUCAAUAUUAAUUACAAAAUUUCAAAAGCUCAUGUUUGUAAUUUAAAUAUUUGUUUCAAAAAUGUCUUUUAUUUAGUAAAAGAUUUGGAUCAAGAUGUUAUUCUUGGUACUCCUUUUAUUGUUCAAAUUUAUCCUUUUAAAGUUGAUUAUAAAGGAUUAACUACAAAAAUUUUUGGAAAGAAAAUUCAUUUUGAAUUUUCAAAUCCUCCUUCUUAUAAAGAUGUUAAUUCUUUAAAGGAAGCUGCAAUUUCAAAAAUGAUUCAUAAUAUCAAUUUAAAAAGAAAUCAUGUUCAAUUUCUUAAAGAAGAAAUUUCUUUUCAAAAAACUGAGAAAAGAUUAGAAGAAGAUUCUUCUAUUAAAAAUCAAAUUUCAUUUUUACAAAAGAAAAUUGAACAAGAAAUUUGUUCAACAAUUCCAAAUGCUUUUUUGGGAUAGAAAGAAACACAUUGUUUCUCUUCCUUAUAAUUCUGAUUUUCACGAAUCAAAUAUUCCUACAAAAUCUCGUCCCAUUCAAAUGAAAAAAGAAUUACUUGAUUUUUGUAUCAAGGAAAUCAAUGAUCUACUUGAGAAGAAUUUAAUUCGUCCAAGUAAGUCUCCUUGGAGUUGUUCUGCAUUUUAUGUUAACAAUUCUGCUGAAAUCGAACGAGGUGUUCCACGCCUUGUUAUCAAUUAUAAACCUCUUAAUACUGCCCUUCAAUGGAUUAGAUAUCCAAUUCCUCAGAAGAAAAAUCUUCUGAAUCGUCUUUCAAAAUCUAUCAUCUUUUCAAAAUUUGACAUGAAGUCAGGAUUCUGGCAAGUUCAAAUUAAAGAAGAAGAUAGAUACAAAACUGCAUUUAAUGUUCCUUUCGGACAAUACGAAUGGAAUGUUAUGCCUUUUGGUCUCAAAAAUGCCCCUUCUGAAUUUCAAAAAAUUAUGAAUGAUAUUUUCAAUUCAUUUUCAGAUUUUAUUAUUGUUUAUAUUGAUGAUGUUCUCAUUUUUUCAAAAUCCAUUGACCAACAUAUCAAGCAUAUUAAUACAUUCAUUCAUGUUAUCAAGAAAAAUGGUUUAGCAGUUUCUGCUAAAAAGAUUGUUUUGUUUCAAACAAAAAUUUGUUUUCUUGGUCAUAUAAUUCAAAAUUCUUCAAUUAUUCCAAUUCAAAGAAGCCUUGAUUUCACUGACAAAUUUUCAGAUGAAAUUAAAGAAAAAACAAGUUUGCAACGUUUUUUAGGUUGUGUCAAUUAUGUGGCUGAUUUUGUCAGAGAUAUACGUCAAAUCUGUGCCCCAUUAUUCAAAAGAUUACAAAAUAAUCCUGACCCAUGGAGUCACGAGUGUACGCAUGCGGUUCAAAAGGUGAAAAAGUUGGUCAAAAAUAUUCCAUGUCUUUCAAUUCUUGACCCCACAGCUUCAAUUAUCGUCGAAACAGACGCCUCAAACAUAGGAUUCGGUGGUGUGUUAAAACAAUUACCCCUAGGAUCGUCAAAAGAACAGUUGGUCAGAUUUCAUUGUGGAGUCUGGUCUGGACCUCAAAUCAACUAUUCAACUAUCAAAAAAGAGAUUCUUUCAAUAGUUCUUUGUAUUUCCAAAUUUCAAGAUGAUUUGAUCAAUAAAAAAUUUAUUUUGAAAACCGAUUGCAAAGUUUCAAAAGAUGUUUUACAAAAAGAUGUAAAAAAUCUUGUUUCCAAACAAAUCUUUGCUAGGUGGCAGGCAAUUUUGUCCUGUUUUGAUUUCAAAAUUCUAUAUAUACAAGGAAAAUCAAACUUCUUGGCAGAUUUCCUCACAAGAGAAUUUAUUCAAAAGAGUGAGAAAAAUGAGUUGGGCCAAGCGAGUUGAAGAAGAAGAGGAUUCUCAAAAUCCUUUUCAAACAAAAACUUCAAGAAAAAAGAAAAGUUCAAUUCCUUUUUUCGAAGAUCUCCCAAAGGAUCAAAAGGAAGCUUCAUCUUCCUCAAACACUCUUUCAACUUUUGUCAAAAAACCUGAUCAAAAUAAACUCAAACAAAAAGUUGAGUCCUCAACCCCUUCAAACUUCAAAAGAGCCGUUCAAAGUUCUGGCAAACUUCCUCAAAUUAACCCUCCAAACUCUUUCAAAUAUUUUACCAAGAGUCUUUCUGAUUGUGUGCUUACAAUGGAAAGUUCUUAGAUCAAUAGAUAUGGCGGUCUUGAUGAUUGCCUCGAAGAUAUUCUUCCAGAAAACUUUUGGUUCAUGCCCUCGGAUAUUCAAAAAACCAGAGAUUAUUAUGAAACCAUUCUUUCUUUGACUGGUUCUGUUAUAAUCACUCAUACUCCUGAACCAAGAGAUAAAUCAAAAAUCAUGUUUUCAAAAAUUUCAAUCGUAAGAGUUCUGUCUUAUGAAGACUGGGGACAGAACCCUUGGGAUGAAAAGAGACUUAGUCUUUCAAAAACAUUUUUUACUUGCAAAGAUACUUUCAAUUAUUUUGAUCACCAGAAUGCUUGGUAUAAGGUUCUUCUUUUUAGACCUAUUACCCAUUCUUGGUUUUUUAUUUUUCAUCAAAAUUGUAACCCUCAUUUCCCGAGUUGGUUUCAAAAUUGGUUUCAGUAUCAUGGACUUGAAGAACAAAUUUUACCCAGUCUAGUUCUUCAAGGAUAUGAAUACUUCAAAAAAGAGGCAAAACCUUUUCUUAAGCCUCAAGAAAAUCUUUUGUUUCAAUUUGCUUUCAAUAUAAAAGUUUCAUGGAUUUUCUGUUGGGAUUUCUUCCAUUAUGAAAAUCUUCAAGAUAUGUUCUCAACCCACAAAAUUACAAGAAGAUUCAAGAUCAAAUGGUGGGCAAAAUUCAAAGAAACAAAUUGUUGUCCAAGAGCAGUUCAAUCAUGGAUUCAAGAACAAAGAAAUUUAGGUGUACCUAAAUUUUCAAAAAAGGAACAAGAAGAUCAAGCUGAUUUUUUGACUGAAAAACAAAGAAUCAUUGCAAUGUUAUCAAAAUGUAAAGAUCCUAAAGAAUUGUUAGAAAUUUAUGAUCAAAUUUCUAAACAAGGAUCUUCAAAAACAAAUGAAUCUUAACAAGAAGAAGAAUCUCAAUAUUCUCAAGAGACUGACAAUGGUGAUGACUUAGUUGAUCUAGGUGAUGACUAUGUUGAGUUUCUUGCUCAAGAGAAAGCUACAAAAGUUUCAAAGAAGAAAACUACAAAAUGACUACAUGGACCCAGUUUUCUUGAUGAUCUAAGAAAAUCAAGGGUCUAUCAAGCAAGAGAAAUUCUCCUCAAUCUUUGUCCAAUUCAAAAACGGUGGUGUUACAGCUGUCAAGACUCCUAUCAACUUUGUGUCAGACAUCAAUAUCUACUUUAAUAAAGAAAAGAUUAUCUUUAUUAAAGGAAGUCAAAAAUUGGAAACUUUUGACUAAAGUUGAUCCUGCUUUUCAAGAUGCUCCAUUAUGAUGUCGCCCAUCUCUCUUUUCAAGAUUCUUUUUCUAAAAUGAAAGAAAUUUCAAGUCCGGACUUCAUUAUAAAUAGAGUUCAAGAUUUCAUUUCAAGACAGAGCGAAUUCAGCAAGAAGAAAUUUAUUUUUCUUUGUAAUUUGUUCUCUCAAAUAUUUCUCAAUUAUCAUUGUAAUAUUUAAAUUUUCUUCAAUUUUCAAUAAAAUUUAUCUAUUUUCAUAAAUUUCUGUUCUUCUAUUUCAUCUCCUACCCCUGGGUCUUUUAUGGUAUCAGAGCCAUAAGUGAACAAGUGAGAUUAGUUUAAUCUUACACUAUAGGCACUGUUCAAUAGGUUUAUUUUGGUUUGAAUUCCUGGAUGUCUGCUGAAUAGACGUUGGUCAGCCCUGUAGACGUUGGUCAGCCGUGUUGGUGGUCCCGUUGGGUGGUCCCGUUUGUAGGCUUGGUAAGAACCAAUCUAUCCUAUUUUAUUGUCUUUAUUGUGUAAUUUUAUUUUGAUUUCAUUUUUUCAAUUAUGUCUUCGGUUUCUAAUUGGCUAAGGAGAUCUAGGUCUAGAAAUAGAUCACAAAAUCAAAAUGAAAAUAGUUCAAAUAUUUUUCAAAAUGAAGAAGAAGUUGACAAUGCAUCAAACUCAUCUGCAUCUGCAUCUGCAUCAAAUGAUUUCAAUUCAAAUGAAUUUCAAAUUGCAAAAAUUGAACAACAACUUCAAAAUUGGACUAUUCCAAAGAUAGAUAAACAUUCUAUCUAUGAAAUAGGCAAAUUUGAUUUCACUCAAAAUUAUGUUAUCAAAACUUUUGAACAAACUGUUUCAAUUAAUAGUUCAAAUGCGUUCAUUAAUUUAUUUUCAAAAGAAUCAAUCGAAUCUCAUAGAAAGAGAUUUAAAUAUCUUCAUGUUGGUUUAGUUCAAAUUGCUAUCAAACCUUUGUUUAGACUUGGUUUAGACAUUCCAAUUUUAAUUACUCUUAGAGAUAAGAGACAUCUCAAUUUUAAAAACUCUGUACUUUCACUUCUUGAAUCAAAUCUUGAAAGUGGUCCAGUUUUUUCAAAUUGUUACCCAAACUUCUCAAUAAAACUUUCUGAUGGAGCAGUUUUAAACGCUCUAAAUCUUCAUAUUCAAACUCGAAAUCUUGAGUUUGAUAGUCGAUCAAAUGCUUUUGCUGUAAUAUACAGGACAUAUUACAAACUCAUGAAUACUCAACUCAAUAUUGGUGCUCUUAGAUCUUCUCCAAAAGAAGAAAGUCUUUUGGUUGAAGUCAAUCCUUUUCAUUCAAGUGUCGAAAUUCCUAAAAGAAUUCCCUGGAAUCUUCAAUCCAGAAAUUUAGAAUGGAAUUUUGACAAUAUUCAAGCUCCAAUUCCAGCUCAAACAAACUCCACUCCAAAUGAAAUUUUAACUUUUUCUGAUGGAAAAGCUAAGGUUAUCUUUCAAGGAUCUUCAUCUAGAAUUCCAAGAUCUAAUUCUUCUAGAUCAUACAGAUCUGAAGAAAGAACUAAAAAUUCUUUCCAACCUUCAAGAAACUCUACUUCAUCAUCUUUUAAAGGAGUAGAUUUCACUCCUAUUAUUCCAAAUCCUUUUUAGCAACCUAAAGAAAAAGAAGAAGACACUGAGCAACCAGAGUCUCCUACUCUUUCUGAUAUGGUUCCUCCUUCAAAUUCUGAUUUUGAUCAUCAAUGUAAUGUAAUUUCUUUUAAAAUUGAUAUUGAUAGAAGAAAAGAAUUCAAGAAUGAUCAAAAUAUUCAAGUUAAAAAUUUUCGAAAAAUUUUUAGACAUCAAUUUUCUUUAAAAGAAAAAGAACAAUUUUGGGAAGAUUAAUUUAAAUCUUCUACAGAAUUAAGUUUUUAUGAUUGGAUUCAAAUUAAAGUUUUUGGAAUACAACCAGAAAAAGCUCAAGUUUUAUAUAUAUAUAUAUAUAUAUAUAUAUAUAGUUCUGUAACAUAUUCUUUGAAACCUUAACACUUUUAAUCCAUGUUAAUUUCCGCAUUUUAUAACAAUCUAGUUUAAAUUUUACAAAUUUAAGAACUUAGUAAUGUCAUUAGUCCUGAAUUCUAGGAGCGUGUUACACCUACCAUUAAUAAAAAUUUCUUUUUUACUUUUUGGUAUGUAAUUUUGGACUGAAAACCAAGGGCUUAAUGGUCAACAUGCCCUCCAAUGGUUGUAGACACGUGAUAAAAAAAAAUUAUGUUGAAUACUAUACCAAAACUAUUGUUGGUUAAAAAAUGCGAUUUAAUGGGGGGCAACAUCACUAGCUAAAAUAAUGAUUGAAUUCCUUAUAUUUUGAAAAUUAAUUAGGGUGAUAAAUGAUGUCUCAUCAUUCUUCAUGUUGACCAUCUAAAUAUUAUUUGUAUCUAAUAGAUUUGAUACAAUGCUAAAUGAUCGCAUGGCGUUCGCAAUCUCAAGUUUAUGAAAUUACUAUUCAAAUUUUAAAUUGUGAGCAUAAUUUUCAGAUUAUACAAUCAAGACGGUGUGUUUUGUUAACAUAAUUAUCUUAAAUUUUAACAUUUUAGUAAGCAUUAGUUGAGAUGUCGAUAAAUGGUUUAACACUAUUGCUUGUAAAACACCUCCUAUUAAUUUGAUUGGAAUAAACUAUUUCGCAUUUCUGUUUAGGAAAUGCUAUUUCGCAUUAUACUAAUAUCAUUGUUCCCUUUGUUAUAAUUAACUUAUAUCAUAGCCUAUUUUUUUUUAUCUAAUUAUUUGAUAGUGCAGUAUAUGUAAAAUUAAUCAACCACAAUGCACUAAUAUGGAAAGUAAAGAACGUUGAGAAUAAAUGAGCAAUUUGAAUUCUUAUAUAAUAUCUCAAGUCAUUAUUGGUGAUAUUUUUUAAAGCGGUUCGUUGAUUAUCAAUUUGACUGAACAAUUUUCUUAGCAUUAUGGGGAAUUAAGAAUCUAAAAAUAAUGUACAAAUGUAUCAUUAUCUAAUUCUUCAUAAAAAAUAAUUUGAACCAGAAAUUUAAAAGAUAAUUUAUUUAAUUGCAUUUACAGAUCAAAUAGAUUAGCAAUAUCUCUUACAUAUCAGCUUUAAAAUGUUUCAACUUGAAUUAACUUCUUGGAGGACAAUUGGUUAGUAUUAUAUUUGAUAACUUUAUAUCACGCCUGAAGAUUGAUGAUAUUCAAUUCUAAUACAAAAUUCUCCAAAUAAAAAUGGAGCAAUUGCGAAGAUGGUCCCAUUUUAAUCAUAAAACCCCAAGAGGUUCAGGUACCUAAUAUAUUAAAAAUUAAAAUAUUUUCAAUAAGUUAUGUCAUUAUAAAAAAAAGAUAGAAUCGACAAUAGUUUUGCACAUGAUGUACCGCAUCAUAUAGCGAUGAAUAAAAAUAAAUGUAUCAAAAUAUAUUGAUCGAAGUAAUGAUUGGCCAAAUAAAAGGGACGCAAUUCUAAAUUGAAUUUAUUAGAAAAACUUGAAGUUUCUAGACUUGUAGUCCGAAAAUCUAAAUGUAUGUAUUUGUAAAAAAAAAAAAAAUAAGAAAAAUGAAGUCGUAAUAUAUAAUGCACUACUAUCAACAUAGUAAAUUUCAAAAAUAUCACAGUGAAUGAAAUUACAAGUCUAUGUCAUGUUAUUUUGAUGAUGUAUAAAUUUUGAAAUACGUUAUUGUCAACUCUGACAAACUAUUAAUGUUAUCCUUGAAGAAUUUAAUUUGUAUGAAGUAUAAUUAAAGUGAUAAUAUUAUGAGGGGGAAUAAAUAUGCGCUGUACGUUUUUUUUACCAAAGUUUUGUCCCAUUGGAUUUUCCUAGCUAAGUUUUUAACAUGACAACUUUGACAGCAUACUUAAAAGAAUAAUGUACUUUUUUCCUUCAUUAGGAUUUUCCUAUAGAAUUUUUCCAGAUAAAGUUUUAACUAGAUAUAUUCUUUAUGUAAUAAAUGUCCAUAACAUACAAGAAUUUACCAUCAAAAUCAUAUUCUAUAUGUAUCGGACUCCAGAAAGAUCAUCAACAGCUAUAUUUCGAAACAUCAUGUUAAGUUAGUCAUCAAAUAUUAAUAAAUAUCUAGUAUGAAGGGGAUGUUAUUUGAAGAUUAUGUAAGACAACACGAGACAUAUUUCAAUAGAAAUUACAAUAUUGAAGUCAUUGAUGUGUAGGACAUGGAUUGCUUGAUAUAAGAAUUUUCACUUAUAAAAUCAAGGAAGUAGUAGCACUCUUUUUCCUUCGAUUAAGUUUUGUCCCAUUGAAUUUUUUUGACAAAGUCUUAAUAAGACAGCAGUUUAUUACACCAAAUUAUUUUUACUCUUUUUUAUUUGUUGGCAUUUUUGCUCUAUCGAAUUUUUAUCAGCUAAUAUUUCAAUAAGAUAGCUAUUGUGUAAAUAGACAUUCAAGGAGGAGUAUUGUAAAUAUGGUAAUAUUUAUGGAUGCCUUUUAUACCCCUUCAUCCCUAAUUAUUAUGAUUGUUGUAUCCCUUAUAGCUCUAAUCUUUCCUAUAAAUAUGGAAUUUUUAUUUUUAAUAAAACACACAAGUUAAUUGGCUUAUCUCUUUUUUAUAAAAUAAGGAUGAUCAUAUUCACAUCACAAUUUUUAUUUCUUUCACCACAUUUUAAUUGCAUUUAAAGUUCUUAAUCUUUAUUAAUUAUAGCACUUAUGCCUGUAAUAAUUUUUACGUCAUUCUUAUCCUCAAAGUUUCCAUUAUUUAAUACAUUUUGUAUUUGAUAACAGUUUUAUGUCAAAAAGUCUGUUGAAAUGACGUAAAAUAACUUUUUUUUUUAUCACAAUUCUUAAAAAAAAUGAAUAAAUAGUGUGAUAAAAUAAAAUUUUCUCAUUUGAAAAUAUGAAAAUAAAAUAUUUUGAUAUAAAUCAUGAUCAAGGAUAAAACAUAUUACUUAAUGAAAAGUUGAAGAUAAGAAUUCGAUGAAAAAAAUAAGGAAAUAAUUGUUAAAAUGAGCAAAGAUUGAUGAGCUUAAUUACAAUAUAUCAAAUAAAAAUUAUGGUAACAAUAUAACCUCUCAUGUUUUAUUGACAAAAUGACAAAGUUUCCUUCAGUUAAUAGCAAAAUACUCAUAAAUUUUUUUCUUAUUUAUACCUCAUUCUAUCUUCUACGGUUACAUUGUAGAUCCCACAGAUUUUAAUGUCUUUUUAUUCACCUCAGUUUCCUCUACAUUUUAAGAUUAUGAAAAAUUUCUUCCAUUCAAGUUCAUUAUACACUACUUUAUCCCUUUUUAUGAUAUAGAUUUUUGACACAUUUGAGGGUUUUGAAGAUAAUGGGUUAAAUGGGAAUUUAUCUAUUAUCGUUGUUAUAAACAAAAAUUAUUUUAGUAAUGUGAUAAAUAAAUAACUAAUUAAACAUAUCAAUGGAUAAUCGAGUGAAACCUGUUCAUUUCAGUAUCAUAAUAUAUUUUGCAUAUUUAGAAGGCAUCACAACAAAACAAAAAAUUUCAAUUGCCUCCUCUAAGGUAUGGAUUAAUUGGUUUGACAAAGAGGAUAAGUUGAGGUAUGAUAAGCUCUCUCCUAUUCGGAACAACAUAAGUCCCUUUAUAGAUACGAAAAUGGCCAUUGUGUCAUUGCAUGUUUAAACAGAAGUAUAAGUAGAAACAUCUCAUUUGUGUUCCAAGAAAUAAUAAAUAGAACUUACUAAUAUACAAAAGUUAAAAGAUAUACUCAUUAACUUAAUGACACAUAUGAGUGGGACGACUUGUGCUUUCACCAAAUUUAUUACAUAUAUUCUAUAUCAUUGCAACCAUUAUUUGUCAUAUGGUCAACAUUUCUGUGUUACAUACGUUAGAUAGUCCAUCAUUAGAAAUUGUUCCAUUAAAAAAAAAAACAAAUUAUAGGUUUAGGCUGCAUAACGACCCAAGUACUGUUACGGACAUGAAAAUGACCCUUGUGUUAUUACGUGUGUAAACAUGAGUACACCAGACAUGUUUCAUUCGUGCCCACAAGAACUAAUAAAUGUAAUUUAUUUACUUUGUAAUAUGCACAUGACCUGUACAAAAGUUGAGAAAUAGGGUCAUUAACUUAAUCGACACAAAUGGGUAUGAUGACUUGUAUUUUCAGCAAUUCGAUAUAAUCUAUGUUAUUUUAUCUUUAAUGAAUAGCCAACCUUUCUAUGUUACAUACGUAAGGGAGUCCAAAUGGGUAUGAUGACUUGUAUUUUCAGCAAUUCGAUAUAAUCUAUGUUAUUUUAUCUUUAAUGAAUAGCCAACCUUUCUAUGUUACAUACGUAAGGGAGUCCAUUAUUAAUGGUAGUUCCAUUGAAAAAAUAAAAUAAAAUAUAGAUAAAAAUUACAAAACGGCACAAGUGCCAUUAGGGACAUGAAAUCAGUCCUUGUUAAGUCAAGUGUGUAAACAUGAAUAUAAAUAGUCACGUUCCGUUCGUACCCAGAGAACUGAAGUAGAACUUAUUUAUGUUGUAAGAUGCAUGUAAUUUGUAUGGAAGUUGAGAUAUAUGUUCGUUAACGUAAUUAAUAGAUGAGUAGGAUGACUUGUACUUUCACCAACUCGAUAACUUAUAAUAUAUGUCAAUUCAAUCAUUCUUUGUCAUGUGGUCAAUAUAUAUAUAUAUAUAUAGGUGUCGUUAUGAACAUGAAAAUAACCGGUGUGUUGUUACGUGUGUAAAUACAAGUAUAAGUAUCUAAGUUUCAUCUGUGCCUCAAGAGAUAAUAAGUGAAACUUACCUAUUCAAAAGUUAAGAGAUGUGAUUAUUAAGUUAAUUGAAGAAUAUGAGUAUGAUGACUUGUGCUUUUACCAACUAGAUAACAUAUAAGUUGUGUCAUUUCAACUGUUCUUUGUCGUAUAAUCAACAUUUCUAUGUUACAUACAUAAGUGAGUCCAUUAUUAGUGAUCAUUUCGUGAAAAUAAAAUAUAUGUGAAAACUACAUAACAGCAUAAGUACCAUUAGGGACAUGAAAAAGGCUCUUGUGCCGUCAUGUGUGUAAACACGAAUAUGCUUGCAUCCACGCUCCAUUCAUACCUCGAGAACUAAUAAGAUUUAUUUAUGAUGUAAUAUACACAGGACCUAUACAAAAGUUUAGAGAUAUGCUCAUUAACUUAAUAUGUACAUAUGAGUAGAAUGAUUUGUGCUUUUACCAACUUGAUAACAUAUAAGUAAUGUCGUCUCAAAUGUUCUUUAUAACAUGGUCAAUCUUUCUGUGUUACAUACUUAAGGGAGUCAUUAUUAGGAGUCUUUCAUUGAAAAAACCAAAGUAUAUGUAAAAACUAUAUAACGACAUAUGUGUCGCUAUGGAUAUAAAAAUGGUCCUUGUUAAGUUAUGUGCGUAAAUACGAGUAUAAUUUUGUUUGCAAAUAUUGAAUGAUAAUGGCACUUGAUUAUUUAUCUGCUGUGUAAAAUGGAACUACAACCAUUAUUUACCAUGUAAAACGACACUACGACCUUUAUCUGCUAUGUAUGAGGGCACUUUAUCCUUUAUUAAUAAUUACAAUGUGGUGACUUUGAUAAUUAUUUUUAUAUUACACUGAUACACACACACACACGUAAUAGUAAACUAUUUAACAUUUUUGUUUUUUAUUUUUAGUUUUGGAUUUUGUGGAAAUGAUAUGGGUACAAGUAUGCUAUUUUUUGAGUUUAAGAAGACUGAAGAAGGCAAAUGGAGUUAUAUAAGGAACGGUGAAGAAAAUAUAGUUCUUUUAUGUACCAAAUGGCAUUUCAUACAUAGUGUUGUACAAAAAAAAAAAGAAACAAUCAGUCGAAGAGUUGUUCAAGUCUCGUAAAUAUUAGCAUGUAUUCGAAAACUAUGCAUAACUGCAUUGCUUUUACAAAUUCUAUAACACUCGGUGAGGGACAUGCAUAAUAGGCAUUCGUUUAAUUUAUCUAAUGCAAUAUGUUAUAUGGGUUCCUAAAUCUUUGGACCGAUUAUCUCAUUUUGGAAUUAAACUGUGGGUAAUUUGUUAACGGUCAAAAAGAAUGGUGGUAUUAUGAUGUACUAUUUUUGUAAUUUUGAAAUGCAAACAAUUUAUAAUGUUUAAAAUGAUUGAUUUUCUAGUUGUCUUAGAAUGAAUGAUGAACACAUAAUGAUUGACAAGCCAUUUUUGGUUAUAGUAAAACAUACUAGUUUCAUUUGACUAUUUUACAUGAAAAAUAUAUAAUGAUGUUUAACAACUACAUAUUAUUGAUUUAAGAUCAAUUACUUCAACGUCUACAUGGUUUCGUUUACUCCUAUCGUGUUUACACAUAUAAUAGCACAAGGGUCAUUUUCAUCUCUGAGACACUUAAGUCAUUCUAUAGUUUUCAACUAUAUUAUGAUUUUUUAACAAAACGAACUCUACUAAUGAACACAUUAACAUAUGUAACAUAACAAGGUUAACUAUGGACAAAAAGCAACGUGAAUGACGUAGAUAAAAUGUUAUUGAGUUGGUGAAAGCAUAAGUCCUCCUAUUGAUAUAUGUCAAUUAAGACGAUAAGCAUAUCUCUCAACUUUUGUAUAGAUUCUUCUCCUUCAUCAUCCUUAAAUGCUACAUUAUCUAUUGACCUAAAAAAUGUGCUAAGAGAAUCUCAACCACCUUUCCUCCACUUAGACAUCACAUAUGCACUCGAAUAACUAGUUAAGAGAUAAAGGCUAUCGGUUAAAAAAAGGUCCAACCAUUGUAUACAUUCUGACGGUCAAGUCAAUAGCAGGAUGAGAGAAAUAUGAGUGCAAAAGACUAGAUAAGGGGUUUGGCUAGGGUUAAGGUUCCAUACCUUUUGUGCGCAAUGAACUUACAUAUAUAUUGGAGAAUGUAAAUGGGCUAAGUAGAUUAAUGGACUGAUCCCAAGCCCAAUAUAAGUUUGCAUAAUUCUAUGAGUCUAAUUAAUUGAAUAGUCAUGUCACGUUGACAUAUAUGUGACCCUCUCUAUCUAAGUAUGCCAAGUAAUUUACAGGUAUAAUAAUAGUUCCCAAGUCUGAUUCAUUGAUUUAUGUGCUGGUCAGACUUUGAAAUUCAAGUUGUCAAUAGGUGAGGUCUUAUAGAUAACCUCAAAGAUAUGAGUAGCUCCAAUACGUGAGGGCUUAUGAAUUGCCUCAAAAUAUGUAUAGAUCCCAAAUAGUGAGGACAUGCAAUUUGUCUUGAGAAUAUAAGCCGCUUCAAUAAAUGAGGACUUAAAUGCCUUGAAAAUAUCUGUGUGAGACUGAAUAAGCGAAAGCUUACAGAUUGCCUCGAAAGAUGUCGCAUAUAAUUUGUCUAAAAUUCAACACCAAUUCCUUUGUAAUACGGACUAAACCAUUAUACAAUAAAAUAUAAUAUCUCAAUAGCACUUACAAAAGUAAAUUGGGAUCCAAUGGACUCCUCCAAAUACUAAUAUCGAUAGCAUGAAUAAGACCAAAUUAAACUUCUCCAAAAUAAAAUAUGCAUAGAACCUAUCAUGUAUCAUAGUAUUGAUACACCAUCGAUAAUGAAAUGAAAAUAUCGAUAAUGUGACAUAUGAACUGGCUGUGAUGAAAAUAGUGUCAUAACAUGCUAGCAAUGAUGUAGCAUGCAUACAUGGCAAUAAUAGUAUAAGUCAUAUGUUAGAAGUAAAAAAUGUAAUGAUAAAUCUAUUGACCUCAAAAAAUGUGCAAAUAGAAUCUCGACACUUUUUCUCGACGUAGGCAUGGUCUAUGGACUAGAAUACCCAUUAGGAAGAAAAAGUUACAGGCUGAAAAAAUGGUUUGACAAACGUUGGCACUUUGAUGAUCAAAUCAACAACUGGAUGAAAGAAAUAUGAGUGCAAGAGACGGGAUAAGACGUUUGGCUAGGGUUAAGGUUCUAUACCUUUUGUGAGUAAUGAAUUUACGAACAUAUGGGAGAAUGUAAAUUGGUCAAGUAAGAUAAUUAAUCGAGCCUGAGCCCUAGCCCAAGCCUAAUAUGAGUUUGCGUAAUUCAAUAAGUCCAAUCCAAUUGAAUAGCUGAUGUCACGUUGACAUAUAAGAGACCUCUUUCGUCUAAGCAUGCUACAUGAUUUAGAGGUGUAACAAUAGUCUUCCAAGUCUGAUUCGUACAUAUAAGUGCGGGUUAAACCUUGAAAUGCAAGUCGUCAAGUAAGAUAUGUCUUACAGAUUGCCUCAAAAAUAUAACUAGCUCCAAUAAAUGAGGGCUUAUGAACUGCAUCAAACUAUCCAUAGAUCCUAAAUAAGGAUUUAUGAAUUGCCUUGAUAGCAUAAGCUUUACAAAUAAGCGAUAACAUAAGUUACACCAAUAAGCGAAGGCUUACAGAUUGCUUCAAACUUUUGACAGCAUCUCCUCUAUAAUAUGGACUAAAUCAUCCUGCAAUAAAACAUAAUAUCUCUACUGUACUUAUACAAAAGUAAAUUGGGAUCUAACUGACCCUUCCAAACACUAAUGAUGAUAGCACGGAUAAUAUCAAACUAAAAUUCUCCAAGAUAGAAUCUGUAAAGAGCCUAUCAUAUAUCAUAGCAGUGUUCUAAAUAACACGCUAAGGCAGCGCCUUGGCGUAAAACUGGCAAAAAUGCCAUGCCAGAGAGGUAUGCAUUGAUUAAGCUGUCAAUGCUUAGGUGCACAUUAUUAUUAUUUUUUUAUUUUUUAAAAUUCUUAAAAUGACAAUUAAAAGCUCAACCUUACAUAAAGUACACCCAAAGAAUGACAAAAAGGAAUAGCAUAAAAUUCAAAAUUCCAUUCUCCACCAUAGAAGACGGCUCCAAUUCCUUUCUCAUCCCAAAAUUCCUUUUUCCUUGAAUCCAAAUUCCACUUCGGCACAUCCUAGGGUAAGCAGAUUAAUAUAGAUUAAUAUAAAAAUUAAAAGUAGAUUAAUAUACUUUGUUUUCACUUCUAUGUUGAUGCGGAAGAGGAUUAUUUUUCUUUACAGCAUAUAUUUAUGUCUCUUCACAGCAUAAGACAACUUUUAUGUUUUGAGUUGGCGUACUUAACUAGUAUUGUAGAGCCUUUACAUAAGAUAGCUUUUAUGUUUUGGAAAAAAGAACAUAAACAACAAUUAAAAGUACUGAUAUGUAUAACUAAACACUAAGCAAGUAGGCUCUUUGCUUGUAGUUGAUGCUAUUUUGGUGUUCUAUUUGUACUUUCUAUAAAGUAUUAUAUUUAACAUCUUAUUUAGAAAUUCAUUUUAAUGGAUUCCAUCUCUAUUUUUUAUUCUUUCUUUAGGAUUGCUUAAUUUAGCAUUUUAAUCGAGCAUUUCAUAUUUACAGAUGCACUUUUGUCUCAAUUUUAGUCUUAUUUUAAUUUAGACUUUUCCUACACUAAACCCCAAUGUUUAUAAAUUUUGUAUUGUUUCUAUUUUUUUAGGAACCAAUGGAAAAAGAUGAUUCUUUAACGACGUCUAAAUCUAAUUCUAGUCAACUAAAAAGAGAUCCCAAAGAUGUUGGAUGGGAAACAAUGGUUUUAGAUCCUAAAAAUCUUAAUAAUGUAAAAUGCAUAUUAUGUGAUAAGGUUACUAGAGAGGGAAUUUCUAGGCAUAAAAUUCACAUAGCGGGAAACAAGGGAAUGGGUGUGGCAUCAUGUCCUAGAGCAAGUGAAGAAAAAAAGCCAAGUAUGUUGAGGCGAUUCAAGGGACCAAGUGUAAAAAAUAGAGAAGCUAUUGAAUGAUGCUAAGUCGAGGGAAGAUGUGGAUAUAUCUUUGCCUACAAUAGAGGAGGAAGAAGAAGAUGAAAUCUCUAUUCUUGAAAGAGGGAAUAGGAAAAAGCUUAUUAAUGUGGGAUCUAAAGAUUAAUUUGCAAGGUCUAUUAAUAUUAAUGAUGCUUCCAUGAGCGCAAGUAAGAUAUUGAGGCAAGAAAAUAUAAAUGAUCCAAUUUCUAAGAAAAUGUUAUUAAAGGUUCAUCGAUUUGGCAAGAUGGUUUAUGAAGUUGAAAUUCCUUUUAAUGCCAAUAACAAUAAUGGUUUUAAACUAUGUGUAAAAGCUCUUGGUCAAUAUGGUUCUAGUUACAUUCUUCUUCACAAUACCAACUAAUGAAGCCACUUUUGAAGGGAGAGGUGGACGGGACAGAAGAAACUUUAAAGAAGCAAGACGAAGAUUGGAAAAUUAAUGGGUAUUCAAUCAUGAUCAAUGCUUGGAGUGAUAGAAAAAGAAAAAGCAUCAUGUAUUGCAUGUGAAUUGUAAAUUGGGGACAACAUUUAUUUCAUCAAAAGAAGCUUCAGAUGAUGCUCAUACUAGUUAAUCGGCAUUUGACUAUAUCAAUGAAUGUAUUAAAGAUGUUUGGGUUGGAAAUGUGAUUCAAAUUGUAACCAACAAUGCUUCCAAUAAUAUGUCCACUGUGAAAUUGUUGGAAUUAGAAAGGCCUAACAUGUUUUGGAUAUCAUGUGAAACUCAUACUUUAAACCUUGUCCUUGGACGAAUAUCUAAACUUCCUAGCUUCAAGGAAGUGAUUAACAAGGUAAAAUCAUUCACUAUUUUCAUUUAUGCACAUCAUAAGACUUUAGCAUUGGUGAGAAAGUUUACAAAAAGAGAUAGUCAGGCCGGGACUCACUAGAUUUGCAUCCUCUUUCUUAACAUUGCAAAGUUUGGUUGAUAAAAAAAAAGGAGUUGAGAAAUAUGAUGACUAGCAAUGAAUGGGAUAACACAAAAUGGUCUAGGUGCAAAAAGGGGAAAGAGGCAUUUGAAAUUGUUAUCCCAAUUGAUUUUUAGAUCAUGAUAGAGUUAUGCUUGAGGGUAUUCACUCCACUAGUGGAAGUGCUUAGACUUGUUGAUCGAGAAGAAAAGCCUUCAGUGGGCUUUGUUUAUGGAGAGCUACUAAAGGCCAAUGAUGAUAUUAAAAAAACAUUGAAGAGAGAGUGUGAUUAUAGGCCAAUCUUGGACAUUAUUGAUGCUAAAAGCAAGGGCCGUCUUGCUAGUCAACUUCAUCCGACGGCUUAUUUUUUUUGAAUCCAUACUAUUUCUUCGAGAAUCCAUUUAUCAAAGAUGAUCCGUUGAUGAUAAAUAAUUUGAUUGCUUGUGUUGUGAAAUUCUUUCCUAAUGAUCAAAUGCAACACCAUGUGAUAUAUAUUGAGUUGCAAAAAUAUGUUCAAAGAGAAGGUUCAUUUGGAAGAAAGUUUGCGACAUGUGGAUAUGAGGACAACGUUGAAAAUCACAAUACAGGCAUGUUAACAUAUUACUCUUUUUCUCUCGUGUCAUUAACUUAUUAUUUUAUUAUAUUUUAUAUAUGAUUAUAUAAAUAUUAAAUAAAUUUUUGUCUUUUUCAUUUAUAUUUAUUAGUGGGUUGGUGGGAUUUCUAUGGCAACAAAACACCAAAUUUAAAGACCAUGGCAAAAAAGACAUUUGGUUUGACUACUAGUUCAUUGGGUUGUGAAAGAAUUUGGAGUUCUUUUGAAAGGUAAGUACUAUUAGGUUGUUAUAUUUUACUUACUAAUGAGUAAUGAAUAAUUACUUGAAUAUACUUUGCUACGUUAAAUGUACAUUUCUUUUUCUUUAUUUUUUUGUAGAUACAUAUCAAGAAAAUGAAUAGAUUUGAUUCUACAGGGAUCAAUCUUGUUUAUGUCCAAUUUAAUGUAAGGUUGGCAAACAAGAAGAAGGGGAAGGGUAAAAUAGAGACUCUAUUAGCUAGUGAUACUACUAAUGUACAAUCUUGGAUUGUGAUGAUGAGGAGGAGAAUGAUAUCUUACAACCUACAAGAGGUACUAGAAAUGCUUGGAAUGAAAUAAAGAAGCCCGAGGAGGAGAAUUUUGUAUUGGAUGACAUGGACGAUGAAUUAGAUGAAGAAGAUGACUUUGAAUUGGAGUCCAAUAAAGAGUUAGAUAAGAUUUAAGUUCCUAUGCUAUAUAUAUUAUGUAUCUAUUAAUUUGAAACUUAUUUUUUUGUUGGAAACUUUGAAAAAAUGUACAAAGUUCCUAUAAAUCUAAUUUAAAUGUUUGAUAGUUAUUAUUUUCAAUUAUUAAAUAAUUUUUUAUUGAUUAAAAAAUUAAAAAUAAUAUCAAAAUAAGAAAAUAUUUUUUACGCUUUUUACGCCUAUGCCUCGCCUAGGCUUGUAUAGCCCGAAACUUGUUUUCCACGCAUAGUCAUGUAUUACACUUUUUAAAACACUGAUCAUAACAUAUGGUAUGCUGUCGAUAAUGAAAUGAAAAUAUUGUAACGUAUCAUUCGUACUACUGAAAUGAAAAUAGUGCCAUGAUGUGGUAUGCAUACUUGUUAGCAAUAGUAUAAUGUACAUGCUACCAAUAAUAAUGUAAUGAUACUAAGAUAUCACAUCUUCCUUUAUUCAAAGAACGAAGACUUCAAAAUAUUGCCUCUUUCUUUAUUUGGGGACCCCAAAAUGUGGCCUUUGAUAAUAAGAAAUCUAUGCACAAGAUAGGGCUUACUUUGUUAAUAAGUAAACCACGAGCUAGCCUUGAUGAACGAGGACUUAUGGGCUCUCUUUCGGUAAAUAAGAAACCCAUGAGCUAGGGCUUGCCUUCAAUAACACAAGGUCUUAUAGUUUACCUCAAAUAAUAGAGAUGAUCAAAAGCUAAGGAUUUGGAUGAUCAAUGAAGCCUUUGAACAAGAUAAAUCCAAGCUAUUUUGUUGAACACUUUGCUUGCACUUGCAAAAAUAAUUCCUUUGGCAUGACCGAGAUUUGCCUUUCACAUAUAAUAUGAUUAAUGCAUUUGUGUCUGUAGCCGUGAAUAUUGGAGAUAGAGCAAAUCACUUCAUUGCGAUUUCCAAAGGCUACUGGGCCAUGGAAGUUUUAGAGAGCAUAUGACAUUCAAUUUUCUUUUCUUUAAUGGAAGAUUUGCAACUCAUAGAAAGAUAUGAAAUACAGUUAUGACAUUUUGUCGAGCAUAUGGUAUGCAUAAUUAGAAUCCCCAAUUUUCACAACAUUUCAAAUGUGCUCCAAACAAAAAAUAGAAUUCAUAUUUACUUCCCAAAAUUUGGUAUAGAAAUCCAGCAAAGAACAUAGCUAGUUUAGGACACAAAAAAUCUUGAAAUUAUGCUUGCAUUGCGACUGCCUCAACACCUAUGGUUGAAAUAUCGACAAAAUUUUAGGCUGGACAUUUUGUCAAACAGUUGGAGACCAAUUAUGAAUCCAUACACUUUGAGUAAGAGCAUGCCCAAAGCAACCAACAAGAGCAGCCAACUUCUCACGUUUCAAAUGGGAAAGCAUUUGAAGUGGCACAAAAGAAUGAAAAUAGGUAUCCAGAUUGAAGCACUUAAGUUGGAAAAUAUAGGCAUAAAAUAAUUUUUUUUUUGCCCAUUUAUGCUUAGUGAAAAUUACACGGUUCCAGGUAUAUAAAAUUCAUGGUACAAAUUUUAAGUGAGAAAGUUCUGUGCAGAAAUCAAGUAUUGAACUAAUAAUUAAAUAUUAAUUAUAUUAAAUAUAGAAGGCAUUCCCUUCAAUAUUGUAAUUCAAAUUACCCAUUAUCUUAACUUCCAUUUUUAUCUAGAUCAAUUAUCUAUCAAACUCCUUUUCAAGACUCCACAUGAUAUCACUAUUUGACUCGCUCCAUAUUCAGGCCAUUUCAUCAAAACUUUAUACUUCUCUUCUCUAUAUUUUCUACACUAUCUAUUCCAUUCUACAUCUUUUACAUUGUAUUGUGAAAAUUGAAGAACCUGAAGUCGAUGUAAAAUGGCAAAAGUGAAGGGUGAAAAAAAGUAACCAAGAUUGAAGAUAUGUUAUGAAGAAGAGGAAGUCAGAGGAGAGCCCCAAACAAACCCACCGAAAAAGCAGAGGUCAUCUUUGAUCAUGCGAAAACUACCAUUGAAUAAGAUAAUUUUUUUUUUUUUAAAUUGAGUUAUAUGUAGGUAUUCAAAAAUUGAUGGGCAAGAAUAUUUUACAUUUUUUUACCUUUAUUUUGUUCUAUUGCAUCAGUGAUUGGAAUGGGUUGGGGUUUAUAUUUGAAUCUAAUCUUUUGUGAAAAUUUAUUUUUUGUGUUAUUUUAUGAAUGAUAUUUGUCCUAAAGAUAAAGAAUACAUAUGUGACCAUGAUUUUUGAAUGUGACCAAGGUUUCUACGAAUAUGUGACUUGAAUAUUCCAUUCCCUAUGUCUGUGACAUUAUUCAUGCGGUGGUAAAUAUGUGAGUUUUCUUUCCAAUAUUUGACCUGAUUGCACAGGAGUAAAUAUGUUUGACCUUUAUUCGGCUAAAUUGCGUAAGUCUUUUAAAUGGUUUAGGGUUUCUAUUUGAAUCCAUUGUUAUUUUAUGAAUGAUAUGUGUCCUAGCGAUAAAAAGUGCGCAUGCGCACACUCACAUAUAUAUGUAUGUAUGUCUGACCUGAUUCAGUUUCCUUUCAAAUAUGUGACCUCAUUGCACAUGGGUAAAUAUAUGUGACCGAUUGAAAUCAUUGUUUGUUAUUCAUAUGUAUUGCAUCAUUCCAAACAUUGUGUCAUUCCAAAUGCUUAAUGUAGUUAGGAAAUACAUAAUACUGGUAGAUAGUUUUAAGGCAAGAUUACAAUUUCAAUGACAAAGGUGUUCUUAUCAUCAUCAAAAAAAAUUUAAGUUAAGCACAGAAAUGUAUAUUGAUGGGAACAUGCUUUGCUUAUUUCUUGGAUUGCCAUGAAAAAUCGAGUUUUAAUAACAGUUGAUUCACUAUUGUCUCUUACGACAGGUUCAUCACCUUAAUGAUGAAGAAAUGUGACUUGCGUGUCUGAUCAAUAUGCUAGGUUCUCUAUCAUCGAGUUUAGUUUAGUCAUAGGCUUGGAAUAUUUUGGAGACAGUGAUACACAUACACUUGAAAAGAGACCAUUUCAAUUGAAGACAAAAUAAUUUAUCGGGUUGGCCAAUGUAAAACAUGAAGACAUCAAGUCCACAUUCAUAUCCGUGUGCCAAAUGUCGGACUUAGAUCUUGUUAAUACCUUACCAGAAAUGUCGUUGUUAUGCUUGGGGCUUUGAAUUUCAUUACUACUUAUCUUUUUCCUAGAGAUUACAAGAAUGUUGUUGACCAUUUCUUGUUCGUUCUUGUUGAGGAUAUCUCUGCACUGGACAAGUUUUCACGGAGAAGUUACUAUUUGAAACUACUUUGGGUAACUUGAAAGACGAGUUGAAUAGAAAAAUCUCACACUAUAGGCUAUGAGGUAUGUUGAUAGCCUUUUAAGCCUGGAUAUACGAGAAUAUUCCCAGUCUUGGUGGAAUUAUGUCACAAGGGUAUCAAGGAUGCACCAUCGCAUUAAGAGCUAGAUAGUAGAUGAAUAAUCAUCUGCGGUAAUGUUUGAAAGAGCUAACUACUUUUCAAAUUUUUUUGAUGUAAACUUUUAAAACAAUGAAAUCAUUAUGUAUUAUAUUGUGAAUUGUUGACAAUAUUUUUUGCUAAUCUAUAUUGAGCUGCAGAUUGAGAUUUGUCACCUGGACCCCUUGAAAAUUGAGAUGGCUAGGCCAUACAUCAAUGAAGUCAAUGCAACAGGCCAAUUCAACUGGACAUUUCAUACGAUGGUCAGAGAAAUAAGGGUAGGAGCGAAAGGUCAGCUGACUGUGCGGGUAAGAUUGGGAAGCCAAGUCCAUUAGAUGUAAAAAUAUCUUCAUUAGUAUUACUAUUAACCGAAAGUAGUAUUGGAUGGGCUGAUGUCUCCGAUUACAUGGCAUGUAGUUGUGUUUUCAACUUGCAUUAUAUUUCCAUUGCUAGUCAUAGAUUAGUAUAUUCAAGUCGCAAACUCAAACUAGUUUUUGCAUUUUUCAAGUCACCUACAUAUGCAAGUCAGGUCACGUAUUUAUAUCUAGUCACAUGCAUAUUUAUCAGGGCAUACGUUAUCUAUCACAGAUCACAAGUCAUUUAAUUUAUGUCAUAUGUCACGUAUAUACAAUUUCUUUAUCUAUAUGAUAUUAUAUAUCUAGUCAUGGCUUUACAGUUCAUUUCAAUUCAUGUAGGUCAUUUGUUAUUUACCACAUCACAUAGCUCAUGUAUUUGUGUUUUUGGCGUGCCUAAUAUAUUCUUUAUUGGUUGCAGAUCAGUAUAUCCGCGUUGCAAACUCUAUUUUGUUUUUGCAUUUUUCAAGUGUUUAAUGAUUCGAAACGAGAGUUCAGUAUGCAAAUAUCUUAUCUUAAGUCAGAUAACAAAGUCUUGAAUGUACAUCUUGAUGACAUCAAGCCACAAAUGUCAUCUAUAAAGGCCAUGUAGGCAAUAAAGAUGAACUCUAUUGUCCAAAAGCAUGGAGAAAUAAAAAACAACUUGAUGGAGAUUAGGACGAACAUGUAAUUUCUUUCUAAAUUUGUGUCUGCCAUGAUUUUCAGUUCAAUAAACGAGAUUUUGAGACGGUUCAAUGACAAAUCAAGUGAACAUGGAGUUGGAACUUUGAAGCUCACAUUCUUGGAACACCGAGGAAGUGGGUACAUCAUAUUUUCACAUUUCUUUAACGACCAUAUUUGCAUAUCACAUUUUAGUUUUUCUCUAAUUUAAUUUACAAGUGAAAAGUGUGAAACCAAAUGUUGACAGGAAAGGGAAGGAUAAGAUAGAUCUUAAUGAUGAUCUUAGUUUCCCAUAUCUUCUCCAAAUACCAUCAUUUGAUUUGGGGGAUCAGAUCUACAAAAUCUAAUUUUUAAAUUCCAAAGAAAUUCAUAAGUAGGUAGAUUCCUUCACAAACGAUGUCGUGAUAGUAACAAAAAAUAUUAAUACAGAGGUAUUCACAACUCCAGAAUUGUUUACCUUGUUGGUUAUAGGUUAUAUAUAGGGCACAAACAUUCAUUGUAAAUAGGUCAUAUAUCACACACAUGCUCACAAAAUAGGCCACAUACUGUUCAUGUGUUUGAAGUUGAACUCUAUGACCGAACAUAAACUAAGAUGCCAAGUGUGCCUUAGGACAAUAUACAGGGAUCACCUAUGACUGAACAACCUCUGAAUUACCAGUAAAGCGAGUUUCAAGUCCCACAAGGAUGUUGAAGUAUCCAUUCAUUGUUGCAGAAGGGACGUUGUUAAAGCAUGCUAAUAGCGUCGUCGUUUUUGAAAAUUAUAAAAACCAUGUUGAAGAUGUUGAUAGAUCGACAUUAAUGGGUUGGUUCCAGAUAGGGUACAAAAUUGAAAUUUAGGUCACAUUAUGUAUCUAUUCGUGAGCAUUACUCAAGUACUCAUUAUAACACAAUAUCUUAAUCUACUUUUUUUAUUACAAGAAAAGUUUAGUGAAACCCACUUUUCUUAUUAAUUCAUUCCCAAUAGUUCAUAAGACCUAGUUUUAUGAGCUUAUCAAUUCAGACUCAUCACUAACUGCCAUGUAAGAUAAUAUUUUGACUCAUUUAAGUGACAUUUAUUUUUGAUCAGUCAUACAACAUGUGCAAUGGUCACAAAUAAUAAGACAUGGUUAUCAGUUCAUUGUACAUAACUCAUAGUACGCAGUUACAGAUCAUUUAGUCUAGUCACAUAUGAUGGUCACAUAAUAAUAGUUGAUACAAACAUGUUACAUAUCAAAUGGAUUUUAGUCACAGUGUCAUUUGUAAUCAAACUAUUUGAAUUCCAUUCUCAUGUCUUUCCUUUUUAUUAAAACAACACAUGGAUAGUGCUUUCAUUACAUUAGUCAGGUAGCGAAACUUGCAAGAAAGUAAUGUACCGAGCUAUGACGACAAAUUCUUGGUUCAAGAAUAAGACUCAAAGAAAUAUACCCUGUAUUCUAGAAAGAUCCUAAUGUUUUAAUGUCGGAGUCUUGACCGAUUGAGGUCAAAACAAGUGACAGCCUACCAUUCAGCACACCCUAGGAUGAUAUUGACCGAAAGGUUUGACAAGGAACUAAGCCAGACAUGAAAAUUUUGCCUGCUCUAAUAAAUGCUUUGGGACCGUUGAAAAAGAACCCUUAUUAUCAUGAACCCGAGUGCAUGGACUUGAAGGCGAUCAUCGAUGAUACCCUACCAUAGUAUAUAAAUGGAUAGGUUUGUGACCAUGAUUUCAAGAUGUACUUGAUAAUAAAAUUUCAUUCAUAAUAAAUAAUUUUGUCUUGUUCCAAAAUAAUGAUUGCUAGAUAUUCAUGAUAUAAUAGGACUUAUACAUACUCUAUGAAGGUAGACAUUCAUACCAACUAUAUUUGAUGUCGACAAGUGCAAAUGGAUAUGGCCACAUUGCUCUAUAAAUAUUAAGAGAUUUAUAUGAAGCGGGCGAAGUAGCCUAAAGAGGGUGAUGGGAUCUUUAUAGAGUGAAACUUUAAGAUUGGACUUGUAAUGUUUAGAGUUUAUUGCACUCCAUAUAUUUGUCUCUUUUAAUAGUUUGUGCUCAAUGGAAGUGAUUGUAAUGGAUGUUAAACUAUGGGUAUAAGUUCUAUUUUGCAAAUCAUGAAUGCAAAAAGUUUCAAUUAAUAAUAAUUCAUUCUUUGGUUACAUAUUGUUGUUAAGGGUUACAGAUUUGGUGAAAAUGUCACAGAUUUAUAUGUACGGUCAAAUGUGUGACGUGGUUGCAACGACAAGUAUUUAUGCUUUUAUGAUGUCUACUAUGAUUCUUCGGGUCACUUGCUUGAAAUCUCAUGAAUAAAUAAAAAUAAACAUGUGCCAUAUGUCAUUAGUUACAACAUAGAUUUUUCAUUUCUGCUGUUCAAGUGAUAACAGAUGCCUAUGGCUUAUCUAAUGUCUGUUGUCUAUGGGAUUGUCACAUGCCAUAAGUCAUAUGUCAUAGCACAUAGAACAUGAUUCUUUUGGAAAUGGUUGUAGAUUAUAAUAAACACAUCAUAGUUCAUAAUGUGUGUGUGUGUGUAUGUAUAAAUCGAUAGAGUUUAAUUUUUUAAGAUGAUUCCCUGUCAAAUCACAUAUUUGAAUCCAUGUUACACGUGCUUGUAAAGUACUAACACUUCAAAAUUCAUGUGUAUAAGUCACCGACUUUUAAGUUAUUAUUAACAAAAUUAAAUAGAGGUCAUAUCUCAAUUGCAUAAUUGAAAAGACAAUGAAUAUAUUUAAUUAAGUGUUUUAUUCCAAUGAAUGUUUACUGGGCAUUCUUCUUUUUGUGAUUUUGUUUAAUGGGACCAAACUAGAGCAACUUUUGUGGUUGUGACCAUGUCCUCCAUAACGUCCACAGUUGAUUGUUGGUUUCCCUUCCCUGGAUGAUUUUUUUCUCUUCUUAAUAAAUCUUCCAGAACCCCUAUUCUGAUUGUGAGCUAAUACAAUUGUCUUGUACUUCUUCAGGUAAUGUCCAUUCGGUUGGAUUUCCAACAGGAUAUAUAAAAUUUUUGUAAGCAUUCACUUACACGUCUUUUAUGUAAUAAUAAGAACAGUAUGUACAAGAAUCCCUCUUCCCAUUUACAAUUAAAACCAAUGCGUGCAAACAAAGUAAUAAAUCAACUUGUAGUAUAUUGUAUGUGCAUGUACAUUGCUUAAUAUCAAUAUAAAAAUGGAUUUUUCAUCAUUGAUAGAUAAUGUUGUCUAGUUGGUAAGAGAUACUUGCAAGAAUGUAAUAAUAUUCAAAUUGUAUGUCAGGUUACAUGGAUAUUUGAAGUCACAAUCAUGAAAUACGUUUCAUAAAUAUUUAUAUUUAAUUACAGAUAUGUAAUUUAGGUCAUAUGCAUAUAUGUUCAGGUCACAUAGAUGACAGUUACUAAAUUAAUAAACUUAUUAUCAAGUUCCUCAAAUCUAUACUCAUUUUUCUCAUGUUUUUCUCGUACUUUCUUGACAGUUUUGUAAAAGUUUCAUGCAUAUCAUCUCUAUUGUUACGGGAUCAAAAUUGUAUUGUUUGCAGCAAUGACUCUAGCAAGGAUACAACAGGGUAAUUAUUGGCUACCUUUGUAAUUGCAUUGACUUAUUCUACUAAAUUCGAUGUCAUUGUAGAAUAUCUGUUCACUGGCAUCUAGAAUCAUAAGCACUUUUCAGAUCUAAUAUCAUCCUACAAACAUAAAUCAUAUCGAUGAAUAUCAUAUAAAUAACAUAUGUGACCAUUUUUAUGUAUGCGAACAUGUAUUCAAAUGAAACACAUUACCAGGUUAUUCCUGAUCUUCGUAUUUAUUGUGUCCGACUAUCACGUGCUAUAUUGAAAUUCUUCAAAUGUGUAAGAGCACAGUCGAAUUGAAAGCCUAAGUCACGUUUUGUCCUGAUUUCUCGUAAUAUGAUUUCAUGUUUUGCAGCAAAUGAAACGAACAAACAACAUGAAAAGUCCCUGAAUAAACAUAUUCUAUUUCAUUCUUUAUACCGAUGUGACAAUCCGAUAAAACACAAUCAUUCUUCGCAAAAAAGCCUUUUUCAAGUACUCAAAAAACCAUGUCCAAGAUCAAUCGUUCUCAUUAUCUCCAGUUUCGAUAGCAAGAAUGAAUAUGCUGUUAUUUGCAUCUUGUGUACAUGCUAUGAAACAUAUACCACCAUAGUGACCAUUCAAGUAUGUAUCAUCAACCACAUUCAUAGGCCUAUAAUGCUCCCAUCCUUGUAUUAAUGCACCGAGUUCUAUAAAGCAGUAUUUGAACCUAUUGUGACUAUUGACCUGCAAUCGUAUGACCGUUUCAUGAUUUUUUUGUUGCAGCAUAUAGAAGAAGCCUGAUAUCUUAUCAAAUGAAUCGAUUGGAUCACCCUUUAUCAUUUUCAACGUUUGCUCGCGAGAUGUCAAAGCCUUUGAGUAAUUCAAAUAAAUCCUAUAAGUAUGCAACAUAUCGUCACAUAUAUCCUCUAGAGUGUAAUAGCAUGGGACGAUGUAUACUUGUACUUGAUGCUAGAUGACAUAAUUGUAGUUGAUACUUACCUAUGUGACCCCCAACAUUACAUUUCAAGCACAUGUGCAACCAUCACCAAUCUUCCUUAUCUUAGAUAGAUGCAUUUUACCCCCAUUUUAACAACCUGCAUAUCCAACUAUAUUCAUCAUUUGAAUACCUUACAACAUAUUCUUUCUUGUCGGAUCUUAAAAUCAUAAACUCAAACACGUUCUAUAUCGCUAAAAAGAACAGGCUCAAUUUCAAAGCAUCCUUAUCACGAAAGACUUCUCCUUCUUCUAUCUCUCUUGCAUCUACGAUAUAUAAACUGUGACUUCAAUCUUUGCAUAUCUCAGAUGCCAUGUCCUGCAAUGUACAUAGCUUACCACUAGAAUAUGCAUUCAUUGGCACCAUGAUAGAUGAUUGAUUAAUUUCUGCAUCAUUACAUCCACGUUUAUGGCGUAUUUGCCAUCAUGAUCCAUAUCCUUCAGUAGAAUGUUGAUAGCACAUUACCAUAUAUUUUUAUUCUGAAGGGAAGCAAGUCAUUGUUUAAUACAUAUUCCAAUGAGAUUGUUACACUCGUAGGAUCCAAACCAUAAUCUAUCAUAACUAUUUUUACAAGGCUUAUGUAAUUGCAAUUACGAUCUACCAACGCCAACGAUAAUAAAGAUCUAUACAAGAAACAUAUAUGCAUGUACACAAUUUAGAUUUGUUUUUGAAACAUCCCAUAGCCUUCAUUCAGAUAUUUUUUUGAACCUACAAUAUAGUUCGAUCAUAGCUAAAUCAAAAACUGUGAUCAGAAUAUUCAAUUAUGGCUUGUUCAAUUGAUGACCAAAAUAAUUGGAUUAUUACCUAUAUUGUCUUCUCCAACGACGAGAAUAUACAAUUUGUUAGCUGAGCUCUCUGAUUAGUUUUAGUAAAUCAACUUGAUUUGAAAAUUUGUGAUGAAAGUGUUGAAUUUCUGACCAAAAUAGAUCCAGAUAAUUUUUUGCUUUGUUUUCUCCAACAACUGAAAGAGCUUCCGUGUCGUCGAAAUUUGGACUUUUGGUGAAUCUUUAAUUUUGGGAAGUGAAUUUUAUUGUAGGGAGUCCUGGUUUAGAAGGAAAGCGUGCUUAAUUGUAGGAUACUUUUGAAUUUUCAAAGUAUAUAAAUGAUUUGCUGUAUACUAAAUCAUUGAGUUGUAGUUUUUUCCCCUUAUGCUUUUUCCCCAGAUAGAGCUAAAUAGAGGAGUCAUGAGGCCCAAAUAAUAAUAAAGCCCACUGGUCCAUAUUUUGUAAAGGAAGUCCAAUCAAUGAGUGGGUUGGCCCACUUCAGCAAAGACUUGGGAACAUGUUUAGAGAAGACACUAGUUUCACAAAAGUGAAAAAUUACUUUGCCUACUUUAGCAUAAGUUUGCAAAAUAAAGAGUUGGAAUAUACAACAAUCUUCUGUUUGAACAUGCAACCGUAACAUCUUAUCUCUAUUAAAAAUUUAAUAGUGCACUCGAACAAUCGAUUAGGAAAAAGUUUGUCGAUGAAAAAAGGGUUCGACGAUCAUUUACAAUUCGACAAUCAAGUCAAUAGUUGGAUGAGAGAAAUAUGAGUGCAAGAGACGGGAUAAGGGGUUUGGCUACAAUUAGAGUUCCAUGUCUUUUGUAAGAAAUAAACUUACAUAAAUAUAGGAGAAUGUAAAUGGGGCCAAGUGGGUUAAUGGAUCGAGCUGAACCCAAUUUGAGUUUGCAUAAUUCAAUAAGUCCAAUCUAAUUGAAUAGUCGAUGUUAUGUCGACAUAUAUGGGACCCCAUUCGUCUGACUUUCCAUGUAAUUUAUAGAUGUAAUAUUAUCUACUACACGAUUAGCAAAUUGUCAAAAGGUGUUGAUUCUUGCCAAAAAUGGCUCAACGAGUUUGUCAUUUGUAAGAUUCAGUGUGCAAUGUACCUCGAUUUGAAAAAUUAAAAUGUAUAAUUAUUCAGCAAAUGACUUAGUUGUAAUUAUCAAUAUGUCUGUGUAGAUUUUAAUAAACAAAACUCACAUUUGAAUCUUAUAAAAGCUUGCUGUGAUGCACUACUCUUAAUUUCCCUCAAUUAUUUAUUUUUAUCCUUAGAUUAAAAUCAUAUCAAACAUUUUGUAGUAAAAUCAAAACAUAUCAAGGAAAUCAAAUUUCAGAAUAUAAAGAGUUAAAAGAAUCGCCAAGUUUAUAUUAUACCAAAAGAGAAUUUUUGUUUUACAAAAUACACCUUAGUCAUAUGACUAUCAAAAAAAUUUGAUCAAAAGGAAUGCCUACAAAUUUUUCAAAAGUUUCCUAUAGAUCUAUUUUACAGCAGGCAGAUAUGGCGGUAUAUCAAAGUCUGUCAAAAUUCUUUCAUCUUUACUGCCAUCUUUUACUAGGCAUCAUUUUCCUAUUUUACACAAUACCACUUAUUGUUUACUCCACAUACAUUAUAGUAUUUACAUGACGACAAGUGACCAAGUUGUAAACAUCAAUCAUUACCAUUACAAAAUCUUCACUGUCUUCAAAAGUUUCGAUCUCUUCUUCCUUGUCGAUCACCAUAUAAUGUGUAUAGUGGGUACGCCUAUAUAUAACAUGUAUAGCACUGAGGUCCUCAGUAAUUUCGGCAUAUCUGGUGGUUCGGACAAUUUCAGUCUAUCACGGUGGCAUCUACAGUUCAAAAUACAAAAACGUGAACCAUAAAGUUCAGUAAAUAUGAUGAUGCAAUGAUGCAUUUCAAACAAACAUGGGCCCAAAUCCCUAUUAUAGUGUACCGUAUGAGCUCAAAAUAACAUGGCCUUUUUUCUGCGCGCAAACAAAUAUCAACACAUCCAUCAUUGCCCAUCGAGACUCGGGAUGCCACAUCAUUAUAUCAUACAUACAAAUUCAAGGCCUAGCCUACAUAUAUACAACGCUCAAGGUGCCUAUCCGCAGUCCCAAGGCCACCAAGGGACCUUCUGGCACUGCCUGUAUACAGGUGUCAAACUCCCAAUACCCUAUCCUUGGCUACCCCUAAUGACCGUCAGGAGCCUCAAAGCGGUACAGUUAUUCGGAUACAAUAGUACGGUACAUCUAUAAUGGGAUUCACAUUCAAAAUUUUCAACUGCAACUCAAUCAGUAUGACAACACAAGUAUGCAUGAUCUUGAAAACGCAAUUAUUCCUACGUUUUUCAAAGAAACUCAAUGCACAUAUAACAUACUACCAUGUCACAUAGCAAAAGAAACAACCACAUAUAAACAUAUAUUUACACAUAUUAAUGUAUUUUGCACUGUAAUUGGAAAAACAUCAAUAUUUACCCUUUUCGCGAUUUUCUUGAUCAAUAUCUGCAUUAAUACAAUAAUUUCUACAUUAAUCAUAUCUUAUCUUAUUAUUUUCCGAUUAUCACAUCUAGACUGAACAUAUAAGACAAUAUAGAUUAUUUAAUAGCAUACCCCUAAUAAAAAUAAUGAUCCUAGCUUAUUGUCAACUUGUAGUAAUAAUAAUAAUAAUAUAAAUGAAAUUAACGUUAUCGUCAUUAACUAAAUUUCAUAAAAUUAUUUCAUGUACAAUUUAAGUUAGCCAAUACACUGCUAUAUUACUUCCCAUUUCAUGCUUGAUCCACUUUUCAUUUCAAUUAACACAAGUACAUAUAUACAUCCAUACCUAUUAGAAAAUUUCUUAUUCAAUUCAUAUUCUUUUUUACGACAUUUCUAUCAUAUCUUACCAUUGAUACUAUGCAUUAUAACAAUUUUUCUUCAGAUCUUAUCACAUAACUAGCUCAAAGUAAUUUAAGUUUAAGCCUCAAGUGCUAAUUGUUAUCUUUCUUCCCAUUUGAAUUUACCACUUAUAUAAUUAUAGUAGUGACCCAAUUUCCAUACCCAUUAUCAUGACGAUAUUAACAAUUGUUAUAUCAAGUUAUUUUCUAUCCCUACUCACUUGUUCCUUACUCAAUGUGUUUUCCCCCAAAACUAUUUUAUACACUCCUUAAUAAUGUGAGUUAAGUAAACUAAAACCCAAUAUAUCUUCAACUAGUUUAUAAGUUUUAAAAUUUUCAAAGUUAAGAUUUUGAAAUGAAAAAUUUAUAAUUUGUCUUCCUUGAUGUUAUUAAUUAAACUUAACUAUAAUUUUAUCUUUUAUCAAUUACUAAAGAACCCUAAAGCAACAAAUUUAAUUCCUAUUUAUAAACCAAAUAAGUACUUAAAAUAAUUAACUAAAGAAAACUUUAAAAUAAUUAACUAAAAAAAAAUUUAAAAUAAUUAACUAAAGAAGAUACAUAUCUUAAUGAGUGAAAAUGAUGAGAAAAAUGGUAUAUUACAUUUCACAACUAUCCUCUAUUUAUAGUUGAUGGUGGGGAUUAAGUGUGCAAUUUAUGAAAUUGCACAUAUAAUCCCUAUGAUAAUGUGCAAUCAUUUGAUUGGAUUUUAAAAUUACAUCUUUAGACCUUGAACCAUAUAUGCAAUUAUUUCUUUGUUUAUAAAAUUGUACCUUUAACCCUUGGGCAAAUAUGCAAUUAUAAAAUUGCAUUUUCAAUCCCCAUAAUAUUGUUUUUAAUUACAAUCCCUAAUAACAUUUAUUUUAUCAUUAAAUUAAGUCCCUAAAAUUAAAAACAAACUCCCUAAAAUAUUAAAAAUCUUUACUAGAAAAUUUUGGGAUGUUACAUUAUCCCCCACUUAAAGAAAUUUUGUCCUCGAAAUUUAAAACUUAUCAAAUAAAAGUGUGAACCUAACUUUCAUCCAAAUUAUCGAAUUUUACUUCACGAUCAAAACAAAACUCACCUCUUGACACUAUUAUCAUCACAAAUAAAUAAAUUAUUGAUCAAGUAAUUGAUAUCAUGAAGAAACGAAGUGAAAAUAAUUCAAAAUUAAAACAUGAUAACUAAAAUUAAGGUACAAAACUAGGUUGCAUUCAUUCCUUCCAACUAAUCGUUUAGUCACAUAUCAUAAGAGAAGAAAAAUGUAGAAAAGAUUGGAGUACAACAUUGUGUUUGAUGAAAACAAGGAAAAAUUGAUGAUUUUGUAACAAGAAUCUUCCUCUCUCGAGCCAAGAACUUCAAAAUCCUAAUUUUUUGAUAUUUACUGAGGUUUUCUCUCCAUUUUCUCAUAUGAUAAAACUCCCUUUUUAUGACCUCAACAGUGUCUAUUUAUAAAGGUGGAAGAAUUUUGAGAGUUAUACUUUGAAAAGGAGUAAAAUAAAUCAGGGGCAUUUUUAAGAAUGUCCAAUUUUAAGGGUAUGAGUUGAAAAGUAUCCACUCAUUUGAAUUUAGUACCAACUUAUCUAUUAUGCCCUUAAUGAAAAGCUACAUUUUGAAAUGGUAUUCUCGACAUUUUAAAUAUCGUUCUCGACAUUUGAUUUUUCUUAUCAAUUUGUCACGAACUUUGAGAAGUGACUUUCAUGAGAAGCUACAUUAAAAUAAUGUUUCUCGACAUUUGACCAUCGUUUCAUUUAUCUAGAAUGACAUUUCAUUUUGAACAUGACAUUUCUCUGCAUUUAAAAAUGUCGUUCUCGACAUUUCUGAGUCAAUGAAAAAUAUAGUAUUUAUUGUGAUUUAACAUGUAUACUUUUUGAAAUCAAUAGGGCAAGUUAUGUGUCAAAAUUUUAUUGGCCAAUAACAAUAUUACAAAAAUGUCCAUUUUUUUGUCUUCGUGUGGAAUUAUAAAUUGUUAAUAAGGGUAUUUUGGUCUAAAUUCUUCCAAAUUAGACAUUUUUGCAAUGAUGGACAUUUUUGCAAAUGAUUUGGUAAAAAUGGACGUUCUGUGAAAUUUCCUCAAUAAAUCAAGAAAACUCAAAAAUCAACAACUGGCCAGAUCAUAGCCCAUACCACAGCAAAAAGUAGUGUCUGGUUUGGAUUGGACUGCGGUUGACCUUGGUCAAACCUUGAAUUUUUACCUUUUUUAAUUAAAUUUUUAGUUCAUUCAAUUUAGUCUCUAGCUUAACUUUUUUCUUCACUUAUUCAACGAUCAAGGUAUAAUUAGAGAUGUCAAACGGGUCGAGCGGCUCGUCAGCUCGUUAGAACUCGACUUGUGGACAGCUCGGGCUCGUCAAAUGACGAGCACGAGCCCGAGCCGAGUUGGGCUCAAUCCCACGACCUGAGCCCACGAGCCAUUUUGAUGACUCGUCAAAAAAUAUGAAAUUUUUUUAUUAAAAAAAUGUCCAAAAUGUGCAAAUUUACCCAAAAAAAUUUACCUAAAUCAUUCCGAGAGCUCCUGUACAAAUCUACCCAAAUCACAAGCUCGCGAGCGGCUCAUGGGCUCGGCUCGACCUGAGAGCUCGUGGCUCGUGAGCUCACGAGCUCGUUGGUACGACCACGAGCUCGGCUCAGCUCACCACGAGCCCGAGCCGAGCUUGUGGGUUAAAGGGCCGAACCGGCCAUUGCCAUCACUAGGUAUAAUCAUAGUCAAUCUAAUCUUUAAGCUUCUUGAAAUUGGUUAUUUUUACAACCCUCAAUGUCAAAUAUUUCAUUUCUCUCUCGUGGGAUACGCAUCUUUGAUCUUAUUCUUCAGUCUUUUGUUAGAUGUACUUAUUUUAAUGUUAAUUUCACAACACUCAAUCAUUUUCCUCUGAAGUUUGAUUGGACUUCGCCAAUGAAAGUCACUGUCUUGAUAUGUGAUGAUUCAUCAUAAGUUUGAGUGUUCUAAUAUCCAAGCUUCAACAAGGAUAUCAACAUCACUAGAUGUAAAUCCCAAAUUAAGUAUCCAAGACUUAAUCAGAUAGAAAUAAUGCUUAUAGUUGUUUCGUAAUUGCUCUCAUCUUGUCCAGUAGAUUGUCUCCUAAAUAUUUGUGAUGAAUAUGAUCGAUUACUCAAGGCUAGCUUCACAUAACAAUAUAGAUAGCUUUUUCUUACAUAUCACGGUUAGUGCAAUGCCCUUUUUUGGACAAGUAGUGUAGACCAAAUCCCUAGCAUAUGGUUCCUACCUAGGUUCCACCCGUUUGUUAAAAAAACUACAUACAAUAUUUUCAACAAAUACGAAAUCAAAACGUCUAAAUAGCUCCCAACACCUGAUCUACCAUUCGUAAAUCAUUUCUUCCAAUUGGUUAAGUUGUUGUUUUGUAUAUAAUGAUUUAUUCAUUAACCUAAGUCCACAACUAAUUUGAGAUAGGAGGACUUUUUAGAGCUAUGCGAUAGCGAAGGGACAUAACACUUGCACCACUCUUUAGUAUUUCUACGACUCUCCCUACUCCAUCACUACCUAUUAUGGUUGUUUGGCACACCCAACCAGUGGGAUCUUACAAGAUCAAAACUGAUGGAUGCAUCAAGGAUGGAUUUGUGAGUGGUGGAGGCAUCAUGAGAGAUCACAAAGGACACUGCAUUAGGACAUUCUCAGUAUCGUAUGACCCAUUUUUUUAUUUUGCAAGUCGAGCUCAGAGCUAUACUGGAUGUGAUUCUAUUGGCCAGAGGAAUUGGGACAUCAACUAUUUAGGUUGAGGCAGAUUUGACAGUGGCUAUACAAUGCAUCUCCAGGGACGGAGGACCAUGGAAAAUUCAGUACACUCUUAGACAGAUCAGAGACCUCAUCCCCUUUAACAGAGAUGUGGUUUCCUACAUCUACAAAGAGGGAAACUAGGUUGCAGGCUAGCUUGGGUUGGGAUUACUGACGCUAUCAGGAAUAUGCACCGUCUGACCUUCUACGACAAAUUAGGAUACUAGUACAAUCAACAGACAUGACCUGCCGAACCUUAGAGGUUUGUAGCUUACGUUGCUUUUUUUUUUUUUUUUUUUUUUUUUUUUCCCCACUAUACAUGGAAGUAGUACUUCCCUAUUUAUUACCUUAAUUUCUUUUUAUUCACUUGAUGCAUAUAUAUUCUUUUAAUCCCAAUCACAAAAUUUAGACAAUAAUUAAUUUGGUAUACCUGAUUGAAUUCUUCUACGUUAAUUGAUUUACUUUUUUCAAGUUCCACUAUACAUGGAAGUAGUACUUCCCUAUUUAUUACCUUAAUUUCUUUUUAUUCACUUGAUGCAUAUAUAUUCUUUUAAUCCCAAUCACAAAAUUUAGACAAUAAUUAAUUUGGUAUACCUGAUUGAAUUCUUCUACGUUAAUUGAUUUACUUUUUUCAAGUUCAAAUCAGUCAUACUCAAUUAAGUCAACUCCUUAUAUCUUUAUGUGAAUCAAAAUAAGCUUUUAAUCAAAAUAAAUCAAACACCAAAGAAUUUAAUUAAUGACCCCAAUAAUCAUAAAAGUGUGUUUCUACCUUUUUAUCCAAAUUGUUGAAUUUUACUACAUGAUCUAAAACAAAAAAUGGGGGGGGGGGGGGGGGGGGGNUAUGAUUAAUCAUACCAAAUUUCAAAAUCCUACUGAACUCAGUAAGGGCUUCUCUUGCCAAUUCCACUCGCCAAAGUUUGCCUUCCUCUCUCUCUCUCUCUCUCUCUCUCUCUCUCUCUCUCUCUCUCUGCACACUAGAAUCUCUCCCUACCCCUUCUCCCCAUCAGAGGUGGCAUUGGCUCCUAUGAAUACUCUGACGACCUCUCUGGUGACCGCCCAGGCUCCUACGAUAGAAAAAUCUCCAAAAAUUGAAAACAAUUUCUCUCUUUAUAUUCGAUUGUAGAAAAAUCUCCAAAAAUUUAUCCAUGACCAGAUUUAUUGUUCGUGACUAUAUUUGUGUUUUAUGUUACUAUUUGUGAUCAAAUUUAUUUUCGAUGAGUCAUAUAUAAUUGUCUAAUUUGUAACUGUAUGUAACCAAUUCACCGAUCUAUGUUAUUUAUGAUUAAUUGUGAUCAUAUCUUUGAUGUGACUAGCUGUGACCAAAUUUAUAUUUAAUGUGACUAUCUAUAAUUAGGUCAAUCUUAACUAUGACCAAGUCAUAGCGGGUCAGAAUCAACAAAAAAUUGGUCACAAACAGUUACAACAAACACAUACUUGGUCCCACGGGUCACUACAAACAAAUCUCCAAAUACCUCAGACCAGUAUUACAAUCCACCACUAUUACUUCCAAUGCACCACCAUUAACACCUUUAACUUAAACUGACAACCAUAAAUACUAAUUUCACCUCAAAUCCACAACAACAAUCAUCACCAACAUAAUUUCUACCAAUGCCUUCAAAAAACACAACCAGCACCGCUACAUUCUCAAAUGUCGAUCAUAGUGAUCAACACAACUGCAAAUUUACAUCACCGACAAGUUUGCACAUCACAAUCACAGCCAUCAUUGGAGGUGACUGCAACAACUCUGAUUGGAGCAAAAACUUCACAUUUCAAUCCCAACGGGUUGUUGUGUUAACACCACUAGCUCUGGUGAUGCCUGUGCCGGUACCAUCACAGCGAUCGACUAUACUCAUCAAGGGGCAUCUAUUUAUGGUCUUAUACCAUCGAACAACAGCACACAAUCCAAAUUUAUAAGCCCGUUCUUCACACAAUUGAACACACACAUUUCACUUUCAAUUUUCGACACCGAUAGUGAGCCCCACGAUCACAAACCACCUUCUCUGGCAUCCCCACCCACACCAUGUCGUAUCUAUUGCUACCAUGGACUUUCAUCAAUUUAAUCAGAAUAUAGAGUAGGGUGAGGUGGGAUAGGGAGUGAGGAUGGGUGAGUAGAGAGGGAAAUAAUUGAGAGAGAGUUUGAUUAGUAAAUGAUGUAAGAUAGAGAUGUUUUAUAUUUGGAGAGAGAGAAAAAAAAUUUGCAGCAAUUUUAUUGCAAUUAUAUAGAGAAAGAGUUGGUGUGGGGGGGGGGGAUGAGAUAGGGGAGGAUAACUGUAGUCUAAUUAGGACUUAAUUAUUGAAAACUUUUUAAAAUUUGAUUUUGAAAUUGAGACUUUAGAUGUAGGGUUUAAGGUAAUUUUCUUUAAAUUUACUUAUUUUUUUGCUAAACUUAUUAGCCUCUAUUUAUCAAAUUUAUAAAUGAUUUAUAGUGAAAAAUAAUAGGAGAAAUAGUAACUAUAAAUUGUGUAUUUAAUAAUUAAUAUUUAUGAAUAUAUGUCGAAAAUUAGUAUUUGAUUUAAAUAAAUUCAUAAAAAUUAAUGUAUUUUUUUUAUUCAAAUAAAGAGUUAGAUAUAUUGAGGAAUGAGGAAAUCUAUGUCAAAUUCGAAUGCUGCUGAUUCGACAUAAAGAUGUUUCUAGGUUAUGAACUAUAGGUUUCCACAUAACUCUACCCGUAAACUUCCUAAUUCUGAUUUAUUCAACAGCGAAGAAAGCGUAUUCAUGCAAAAUUAAUAUAUUUCCAAAAUUCUCGUAGACUUAUCAAAAAAGUAAGUACCAAUUAAAAUUCUUCCCGCAUCUUCCCUUAUGGGAAUCAAGAUUGCUUUCCCACUAUCGAUGAACAUUUAUCCUCAUGAUACGCAGUAUUUGGCAUUAUAGAUUUGAUUAAAAUGAUAAUCCCUAAUCCAACAAACAUGGUCAACCAUCCUCUUCCUUCCUCUAUAGCCUUAACACAUUGGGCUUGCAUACUCGAUGUAUUCAAAUUAUCUAGAAAAUUGGGGGGAGGGAAUAUCCUUUUGAAAAUAUUCAUAGGGCGCUACCCUCAGAGGCUGGUAUUACUUAUUGACGUGUUCGAGGAAUGCACCACUACUAAUGGUCAUGAAGUCAUCAAUCAAGGGUUGGAAGUCCUCCUUUUAUGUUCGAGAUACCUAGGAGUUCGAAAAUGGUCCAGUUUGAGAACUAAAGAUCGUAAUUCUCGAACAAGCAAUCGAAAAGAUUAAAAGAUUCUGGAGCAUCCUCAGGAUUAGAUAUUGUUCCUCCAAGGAUUCGGGUAAUUUUCUUCCCUUUCAUCGAGAAGAUAUAGCCCUUUACAUGAGUAUUUUUACUUUAGGUCAGUAUGUAUAUUCCUACUUUCUGCCUCUCUCUUCAUGUAUUGACCUAUAUGAAAUCAAAUCUUACAAAGACAAGGUAGAUGCCAUCAGUUGUCUCUUUGAAGUGCAAAAAGACCACUGGUCAUUAACCACAACAAGUACUUUGUUAAGUUUAACUUGAUUUUAGUUAGGUAUGUUUGGUAUCUCAAAUUUUAGCCCCUAUUUGAUGCCCAUUACCUGAAAAUGAAAAUGGGGGGAAUAGUAUUUUUUUAGAAAAAUGAGUGGUUGAAAAAGAAGGAAAAGUUUUCGAUUUACGUGUAAUAUUAUUUUAUGGAAGAUUGUGUGGUUGAAAAUAAGAGAGAAAAAUGAAAUGUAAUGUAAUUUAAUUCAAUUGGGAUCAAACAUGGGCUUAGCCAAUCUAAGUUAAUUAUUUAACUCUUUAACUUCAUUGCUUCCUUUUAGGAGAAAUCAAUGAGAGUAUUGGCUACUCGAGCCUAGAUAUGUUGAACUGCCAAUUGAGGCGACCACUUGGUUUGACCACUCCUGUCGACUCCGUUCUUUUGACUGCUCCCAACACUACUCCUCCUAUGUUCAAAAAGAAAGAGGGUGGUGGUUUUUACUAUCCUACUUAUAAUAAGAAUUCUACUUAAGAGCUUACAAAAAGAUCUCGAGUUAGUUGCUCGAAGAUAAGCUGAAAAGGCAUAGCUCGCAGCGAUUGCCAAGGCUUAGGGAGGCCUUGGCGAAUGUUUCCCAGUAAAAGGCCUCAGAAUGAGUCCAACUCAUACAAAGCUAUCGAUUUCUUGACCAUUUGUCCCAACUGAUCGUUUAGUAACACAUCAUGGGAGAAGAAAAAUACAAGAAAAGAUUGAAGUACAUCAACGAGUUUGAAGGGAGAAUGAGAAAAAGUUGAAGUCCUUGCACCAAGAAUCUUCUUCUCCCCAAAUUAAGAAAUUCAAAACCCUUGUUUUUUAAUUUUUCCUUUGCUUUGCUUUUUCUACCCAUUUUCUCUCUAAUUAUACAUGAUGGAUUACUUUUUAUACCUAAGCAAGGUCUAUUUACGAGGGUAGAAGAAUUUUGGGAGUUGUACUUCAAAAAGUAAUCAAAACAAAUCUAGAAAACACAAUAACACAAAAUAGCAAAACUUGUUAAUUUGAGUUGGACAACGGCAAAUAAUGGUCUAUGAAUUAUUACUAGCAUCAUCGUCAUCCAAGUUGAUCCCGGCCCAUUCAACAUUUUUUCGUGCGGCCUUGAUCAUUUCUCCAAGUUUUUGUUAAUCUUCGAUCCUUUUUCAUUCUUAAUUUUCAAAAUCUAUUAGAUUCGUUCUCGAAACUUCAUAACCAUUCGAAAUUGAUGCAUCUCAAAUUUUGAAAGUGUACAAUUUAAUUUCCAAACUUUUCAAAAGUUGAAGUUCAUCCCGAAACUACCAAAUUUCUUCUUAUAGCUAAUAGCUCUCUUUCUACUUCUAAUAAUUCCCAUGCCGUCCGGUUAGUCUUUGAUUGUUCCAAACCAAUUCCAAAUUAGCUCAAAAUCGUCCUUUUUGCAUCAUUGCAAUAAGUCCCAAUUUUUCCUACUAUUAACAUAAUUACACUAAAUUAGGUAGACAUUCGUUCAAAAAGCGAUAUUAUAUCACGUUCAAAAGCAACGAUAAGUAUGCAAAAAAUACACUUAUCAAUAGUCCUAGUGCGAACAAUAAUCAGAACUCUUUAAAUCCACUUUAUUACUUUGUUCAAUUGACAUCGUACUUUUGCAAUUACACCACAAUACGUACACAAAUGGCAAAUUUGCUUAAAGCAUUUUUUAAAUGGUUCUAUUUACCCAAUUUCCCUUAUUCAGGGGAUCUAAUAUGUUUUUAAACCUUAUAUGUCCGGGCCACUGAUUCAUACACUUCAUUGCAAAGUAUAAAAUAUUACCAAAAAUAAAUAGGAAUCAUGAAUCAAUAAAAUAACCACAAACGUAAUAACUUUUGUCGAACCAUAUGUCCUUCCCCACAAUACCUUAAGUAUGUGUAAGGCUGUAAAAUUUGUAGACAAAGCUUCGGUGAUAGAACAUACUAGUUUUGUUAUAGUUUACAAUAACUUAUCUCACAAUCCGGAUGGACAUUCAAAUACAAGUGAAACUGGUUUAUUUUACAGAGGAAUUCCAACAGCAUUUUUAGAGAAAGAUGAACUAAUUAGUGUGGCUCCUGAGGAAGUUCAGAAUAAGAUCAUUCACCUGGGCAACCAGUUGCUCUUGAACAAAAUGAGUUCCUUCAGGUAUGAAACUUAUCUCCAAGUUAGGCACAAAUGUUUUCACUUUUCCGCUAGUUAUGUAAUCCGCCAUUCCUGGGAAUUUGAACACGUAAUCUUUCUCGCCCAUGAUCAGUAGAGCUGGAACUUCAACUUUCGGAUCCGGUUUAUCAACCUGUUCGUGAAAUGACCUAAAACAUAAUGAAAUUGACACAUUAACGUUACAAUGGAUCAAUGAGAUGUUAUGUAUUAAACCUUAACCCCUAACUCCAAGAGCAACAAUAAACAUGAGAAAGCAGAAAACGACGAAAGAUUGCACAAGUUAAUAUUGGUUCACUCUCAAUGUGAGGGAUGUUACAUCCACUCGCUUCUACUGAUUGUCAUCGUGAAGAGGGUUAUAGACUUAUAGUGGUGAUCCCACACCUCUUUGUAUGUGUCAAUCUAAAUACUUCCCUGUGAUAUAAGUAGGAAUAUUAGGUCAAUCUCGUCUUAUGAUUAGGCUCCAGUACUCCACACAACAAUGGCUCCCUAAUGUGAAGAGUAAAAACAUCAUGCACACCUAUAAGGAACCUGAAGUGCAGUCUGGAACCCAGAUUUCUCAUACAACAUUCCAUAGGUCGCAAGAUCCUCCUCAGUGAACCAAGAAGGUAAAGGAGUGGACGAGUCCACCAGGUCCAUGAUCUCCUCGUUUUCAUGAGCGAUUGGUAUUUCACUUCUGGAAAACAGGAUAUAAACAUUCCUCACUACAGUUUUGGCAUCAAGUCGACCAAAAUCGGAUUCAGCACGCCCAGGUUCCUGCGAGAAAAAUAUCGUGGGAAGUUAGAAUUAGUUAAUUGAGGUUAUCUAGAACAGGCAAGCAGAAAAAGCAAGAUUAAACCUUCCAUCUUGACAUGUAGAAGCCUUCAGGGAGGUGCUUAUCAGAAGUGAGAAAACGAGGAAGGUAGAACGGCACACCUAAUGUCACAAAUCCCGAGACCCUGUCCUGGUAGAGAACAGCAAAUAUAGAAGCUACAAUAGCUCCAAAAUCUUUAGCAAUCAGAAAAGCCUGUGUAAACAAGAGCCUGUUUGAGCCCCAUUUUUAUUGAAGAAUGGAUUCAAAAUAAUAGAUUGAUGGAGAAUAUGUGAUAAAAAAAUAAGGAAAAUUUUCGGGUUUGCGUGUAAUAUUAUUUUAUUAAAGAAUGCAUGGUUGAAAAGAAAAGAGAAAAAAAUAUAUUUUGGAAAUAAUGGCGAUCAAACAAGAGCCAAGUGUAAGGCAUUACAGAGAGAGAGAGCGCGCACAUUUGUGUCUAUUGGAUGGCACAAUGAUCAUUAUAUUCUGUACCAAUAUCACAUCAAUCAUGUAAGAAACAGAGAAAAAUAUUUCUACAAGGUUAUGGCGACUCAGAUUUAUUUUUUAGUUCAUGUAAAGAAAUUCUAUUGCAAGAACUAAUAAUCAUGAAAAAUAAAAGAUACCCUUCAAAAGAAUCAAAAAGAAGAAAGAGUGAAAACAUUCUUCCAAUCCCAAUAACCUCGGGCAUUCUUCACCAUAGGUAAGUAAUUGUUUUGUAACUGACCUUUAAGUUCAAAAUGGAACAUUCAGGUGCACAAAAUAUCAUCUAACUUUUCAUUAUAUGAUUACUGAAGCCAUUCUAUCAUUUAAAACAUAGAGCAUAUGAUAAAAUUUUGACAUUUAAAGUAAGCAAAAGCCAUUCCUUAUUUCUGCCUAUUUAUGAAAAUUUUAUUGGCUUGAUAAACAUUAAAUAUGUAACAUGGGGACGCCACUGCACCUAUGGUGCAGAGGGGAAAAACCCUCUCUUCUCUAUAAAAAUCACCAAUCUCUUCACUCCAAAUUCCAAUAAUUGGACAGCGUACCAGUAUGCUUUGUCAAUUUUGGACUAAAGAAAUUAAACUUUAGAAAAUCAUCAGUAAGCAAUAUUGAGAGCUAUUUUCUUUUUUCAUUUUUAUACCUCCAUUUUUGAUCGAUAAUCACAAGAUCAACUUCAAACAACAGCAAAAUCAAGGAGAUUAAUAAUCCUGUACCUUGGUGAUGCUAAGAGCAUCAUAAAGCGCAAGAAGGUCACCAACGAGGUCUGAGAAGGUGGUCUUCUGGGGUUCGGGUGGUGGAUCGGAAAGCCCGAAACCUCUGUAAUCAAGCGAAAUGGCUCUGAAACCGGCACUUGCUGCUGCAAUCAUCUGGUGGCGCCAGGAGUACCAUAUUUCUGGGAAACCAUGCAAGAAAACCACCGCUGGCGAUGAUCCACUCCCGAUUUCAGCCACGUGAAGUUUCAGCCCGUUCGCUUCAACGUAUUUGUGCUCUAUCUGGUCCAUUUUCGUCGCUCACUGUGAAAAAUUCCUUCAACUGCCGUGUUAUUUGUAACUUUGUAAGAAACUGCGAGUCAGUUUGGUAGUAAUUUUUUUCAUUAUGUAUUUUUUUUCAUCUACUUUUAUUAAAAUAAUAUUAUACGUAAAUUAAAAAAAAUCUUAUUUUUUUAGCACACAUUUUACAUCAAUUUAUUAUUCUAAAAUGUAUUUUUACAUAAAAAUGCCUAUCAAACAUUUGAUAUUUUGUACUCUGCGUGGCUUUGUAUGGACAGGGAAAUACAUGUUUGAUAAAACUUUUAGCCCUCGUUUUUCUCUUCGCUAUUAUUUUCAACCAAACAAUUUUUCAUAAAAUAAUAUUACACGUAAAUCAAAAAAAAUUUCAUUCUUUUACAAUCACAUAUAUUUUUUUUUUUUUGAAAAUACUAAUCCAAACAUUAAAAUUUGAAAAAAAUGAGGGCCAAACGGGGACUUAAGAUCCGUUUGGUAGGAAUUUUGAUAAUUAAUUUUUUUGACUGUUAGAAGAAAAGUGGAGGCCAUACAUGAGUGAAAAAAUCAAAAUGAUGGUUGAAAUAGUGAAAUAAUGAUAAAAAAAUCAAAUUUUUGAAGUGAAAAAUCCCUACCAAACGGGGUCUUAAUUAUUUCCAACUUGACACGACUUAUGAAAAUUUUAAACUCAUCUCAUUUUUUUUCUCUCUCUCUCUUUAAGAUGUUUUGGGGUACUUUUGAAAGUAGGCAAGUCAAAAUGCCAUUUUUUCACUUUAACCAAAAAUUUUUGCCAAUCUUUAAAAUGGUCAUUUAUUGAGUAAAAGACAAAAAUAUUCUUAAAUAGUUUAUACAAUUACAAAAAUAGAAUUUUAUUUAAAAAGAUCAAAAUACCUUUAAGUUACAAAUUAAAGAACCAAACACUUUUCACUUUAUAUUUAAUUAUUUAUGUCAAACACUUACUCAAAUAAAAAAUUAAUAUUUAAUUUACUUUCUUGUUUAAAUAUUUCAUUAAUUAAUUAUCUUAAUCGAUUAUGUAUAUUAUUUAUUUAAUAUUUAAUUAAUCUAUUUAAUUAUUUAUUUAAUCACUUAUUUAAAUAAAAAAAUUAAUGUUUAAUUUGAUUUCUCAUUUAAAUAUUUCAUUAACUAAUUAUCUUAAUUGAUAUAUGCAUAUUUAAUUAAUUAUUUAAUUAUAUAUUUUAAACACUUACUCAAAUAAAAAAAUUAUAUUUAAUUUGGUUUCUCUUUUGAAUAUUUGAUUAAUUAAUUAUCUUAAUUGGUCCUUAUUUAAUUAUUUAUUUUAAACACUUACUCAAAUAAAAAAAUUAAUAUUUAAUUUGGUUCUCGUUUAAAUAUUUCUUUAUUAAUUACCUUAAUUGAUUAUGUAUAUUGUUCAUUUAAUAUUUAAUUACUUUAUUUAAUUACUUAUUUAAUCACUUAUUUAAAUAAAAAAUUAAUAUUUAUUUUAAUUUCUUAUUUAAAUAUAUUUUAAUUAAUUGUCUUAAUUAGCUAUGUAUAUUAUUUAUUUAUUGUUUAAUUAUUUAUUUAAUCACUUAAUUAAAUAAAAAAUUAAUAUUUAAUUUAAUUUCUUAUUUAGAUAUUUCAUUAAUUAAUUAUCUUAAUUAGUUGUGUAUAUUAUGCAUUUAAAAUUUAAUUAAUUAAUUUAAUUAUUUAUUUAAUCACUUAUUUAAAUAAAAGAAUUAAUAUAAAUAUUAAUUCUAAUUUAAAUAUUUCAUUAAUUAAUUAUAUUAAUUAAUUAUGUAUAUUCUUUAUUUAAUAUUUAAUUACUUUGUUUAGUUAUUUAUUUAAUCACUUAAUUAAAUAAAAAAUAAUAUUUAAUUUAAUUUCUUAUUUAGAUAUUUCAGUAAUUAAUUAUCUUAAUUUGUUAUGUCUAUUAUUAGUAAUUAAUAUUUAAUUACUUUGUUUUAGUUAUUUAAAUAAAAAUAUUAUACCAUAAUGUACAAGUGACAUAACAUUAUUGGAGAUUUGAAAAAUAGUUUUUUCGAUCCUCCACUCAUGAAAUUUCACAUGGAUAUUAUGGACAUCCUUAUGAAUUAGUACAUGUAGAAUUAUCCAAUAUUUAAUUUGAUUUCUCGUUUAAAUAUAUUUUUAUAAAUUACCUUAAUUGGUUAUGUAUAUUUAAUUACUUUAUUUAAUUAUUUAUUUUAAAAACUUACUCAAAUAAAAAAAUAAUAUUUAAUUUAAUUUCUUCUUUAAAUAUUUCAUUAAUUAAUUAUUUUAAUUUGUUAUGUAUAUUGUUUAUUUGAUAUUUCAUUAUUUUAUUUAAUCACUUAUUCGAAUAGAAAUUUAAUAUUUAAUUUAAUUUAUUCUUGAAAUAACUCAUUAAUUAAUUAUCUUGAUUGGUUAUGUAUAUUAUUUAUUUAAUAUUUAAUUAGAACAUAAAUCACAUGGUGUAUGAGAAUAUCUAACAGAGAUGGGAGUCAAACUUUAUGCAUUGUCACAUUUUCAAUACAUCGAACAUUAUUCAAGAAUGUCGAUACUAUAUUUCCUCUACCAAAUGAAGUCGAGUGAGAAGUUCUUGAUUAUAGUAUGUUACUCUCUACCCAACGAAUGUGUAAUAUCUAUUUAAAUCCUAUGUAAUCUCUAUUUAUAGUGCGUUAUUGAUUUCCUCAAUUUUCUUUAUUUAUAGUGUGUUAUAUAUUAAUUAAGAGUAAUUAGUUAUUUAUUAUACAAUUACAUAAAAACUAAAGUAUAACAAACGUUUUAAAAAAAUGCUUACAUUUGGAAUUAUUACAAUUACGGAUCACAAUAUACAUAAAAGAACACUUGCAUUUUAAUGUGUGUUUAGUUUAUUAGCUCUACACCACGUUCGAUGCUAAAACUUCAAUAUACUUCAAUUAGGGAUGUCAAUGGAUUGGAUUUUGAUCCAAAUCCGAUGAAAUUAAUGGGAGAUGGAUUUAGGGUCUCAAUUCGAUAAUCCAAUCAAGAUUUGAAUUCGAUAAUUCGUUAACUAAAUGAAUCAAUAGAUUGGAUUUUGAUCCGAAUCCAAUCUGAAUCCAAUGAAAUUAACGGGAGAUAAAUUUAAGGUUUUAAUCCGAUAACUCAAUCGAAAUUCAGAUUCGAUAAUCCUUUAACUAAAUGAAUGAAAUAUGGAUAUAGGUCAUUUUCGAUCUGAUAAAUAAAUAAAAUAUUUAUUUUUCUAAUUUUUUCAAUUUCGGAUCGGAUAUCCAAUAACAUAAUUAAUUGGAUAUGGAUUUAACAUUCAAAUAUUCGUCGGAUUAUUGGAUCGGAUAUGAUAGGAUAAUUAUUAUUAACGGAUCGGAUAGAAUUCAAGCAAAUCUGAUCUAUUUACAGCCCUAACUUCAAUGCGAAGAUUUCACAAUCACUCGGGUCGAUUUUACGAAAGAGGUUGGGCAACGUACCGUCAAUAGAUGUUCUCUUCUUUGUCUCGAUCGUGUAUGGAGAAACAAUGUGUUGUGUGACAACAAUCUAGUUCUCUUGCUAACCAUGUGCUCUGGCACGUCAAUAAUAUGUUUCGUACAAAGUGUCAUCCAAACUCGUGACAUUAUCUGUCAAGUUGGGGGUCAUCUUCAGCAUAGUUAUGCAUAUUAUUUAUUUAAUAUUUAAUUACAUUGUUUAAUUAUUUAUUUAAUCACUUAAUUAAAUAAAAAAUUAAUAUUUAAUUUAAUUUCUUAUUUAGAUAUUUAAUUUAUAAAUUAUCUUAAUUGAUUGUGUGUAGUGUGUAUUUAAUAUUUCAUUACCUUAUUUAAAUAAAUUUUACAAUAUAUACAAUUAUUUCAUAAAUAAAAAAAUAUAUACAAUUAUUACAAUUAUUUCGUCCCCACCACUGGCAUCUCUCUCAUCUCCACUAACAUCUAUAAUGAUUCUAAUGAAAUAUCUGUGUACAUCCCCACCCCUCCACCAUUACUCUCCCUGUCACCAUCUCCGCUCUCUCUGUCACUGUUUGGGACACCUAUCACCUACGUACUGUAUCUCCUCGAAUAUGACUCUGACCCUCCUCCUCGAUCAAUGGUAUCAGCUCAGUGAGCAAUUCAAGCUGACAUAUUAAUAUGUCACCAAGUUAAUGACUAUGCAUUGAGAUUUCGAAAUGACGUACAAUAUAAAUCACAAAAUGAAUAAUAUUUAUCUCAGGAUCGUUGAAGAAAGUUGAUAACUGUCAGCUUUGUCGCAUGGAUAGUUGUUGAAUGUGUCAAUGUAAUCGACAACCUCCAAAUGAAAGACACCGAUCAACGUCUUCUUGUGAUGAUACCUCGGUAUGCUCUCUAAUAUAAACACCAUCUCCAACUUCAACUUGUUAAACAUAUCGUCGUAUUUCUUGAAUGCAUCUCCUAACUGUGCCAGAGUUACCGUCAUAAGUAGGAUCGGUGUAACAGGUCUGCAUGCUCCUCAUCCAACAACUCUAGGACUAAUGCAAAGCUGAUAAAUUUAUAGUUCGACGUAAUUUUGUCAGGAAUCUGUCUUAUGACGGCGUCCAAAUGGUAAUCCAUCUUGUAAAAUUUAAAAUAUUUAUAUUUCUUUGUUAUUUAUGUCAAUUAAAUAUUUUUAUUUAUUAAUUAACAUUUAAGUUACUUGUUUAUUAAAUUUAUUACAAUUAGUUAUUUAUUAUCGUUUAAAUAAUCAUUUAAUUAUUAUAUAAAUGUUCAUUAUUUAUUUUUGUGCAUUUCAAUCAAUUAUUUAUUCCAAUUGUUUUUCAUUUAUUUGUUUCAAUUGUUCAUUUAAAUUAUUUGAUUUAAUUAUUUAUAUUGAUUGAUUAUUUAAAUUAUUUAUUGAACAAGUAAACGUAAAUAUUUAAUUUUUAUUUUAAAUGUUAGAAAUUUAUUUCAAUUAAAUUUUAAUUACAUAUUUUGAUUAUUAACAUUUAUUCAUUAUUUACAUUUUUUAUUUCUCAUUUAAAUAAUCAUUUAAUUAUUAUUUAAAUGUUAGUUAUUUAUUUUGUGCAUUUCAAUUAAUUAUUUAUUCCAAUUAUUUUUUAUUUAUUUGUUUCAAUUUUUCAUUUAAAUUAUUUGAUUUAAUUAUUUAUGUUGAUUGAUUAUUUAAAUUAUUUAUUGAACAAGUAAACGUAAAUAUUUAAUUAUUUAUUUUAAAUAUUAGAAAUUUAUUUCAAUCAAAUUUCAGUUACAUAUUUUGAUUAUUAACAAUUAUUCAUUAUUUACAAUUUUCAUUUAUCAUUUAAAUAAUCAUUUAAUUAUUAUUUAAAUGUUCAUUAUUUAUUUUAGUGCAUUUAAAUUAAUUAUUUAUUCCAAUUGUUUUUCAUUUAUUUGUCAAUUGUUCAUUUAUAUUAUUUCAUUUAAUUAUUUAUAUUGAUUGAUUAUUUAAAUUAUUUAUUGAUCAAGUAAACAUAAAUAUUUAAUUAUUUAUUUUAAAUGUUAGAAAUUUACUUCAAUUAAAUUUUAAUUACAUAUUUUGAUUAUUAACAUUUAUUCAUUCUUUAAAAUUUUCAUUUGUCAUGUAAAUAAUCAUUUAAUUAUUAUUUAAAUGUUCAUUAUUUAUUUUUGUGCAUUUCAAUUAAUUAUUUAUUCUAAUUGUUUUUCAUUUAUUUGUUUCAAUUGUUCAUUUAAAUUAUUUGAUUUAAUUAUUUAUAUUGAUUGAUUAUUUAAAUUAUUUAUUGAACAAGUAAACGUAAAUAUUUAAUUAUUUAUUUUAAAUGUUAGAAAUUUAUUUCAAUUAAAUUUUAAUUACAUAGUUUGAUUAUUAAUAUUUAUUCAUUAUUUACAUUUUUCAUUUAUCAUUUAAAUAAUCAUUUAAUUAUUAUUUAAAUGUUCAUUAUUUAUUUUUGUGCAUUUAAAUUAUUUAUUUAUUCCAAUUCUUUUCAAUUUAUUUGUUUCAAUUGUUCAUUUAAAUUAUUUGAUUUAAUUAUUUAUGGUGAUUGAUUAUUUAAAUUAUUUAUUAAACAAGUAAAUGUAAAUUUUUUAUUAUUUAUUUUAAAGGUUAGAAAUUUAUUUCAAUUAAGUUUUAAUUACAUAUUUUCAUUAUUAACAUUUAUUCAUUAUUUACAUUUUUCAUUUAUCAUUUAAAUAAUCAUUUAAUUAUUAUUUGAAUGUUCAUUAUUUAUUUUUGUGUAUUUAAAUUAAUUAUUUAUACCAAUUGUUUUUCAUUUAUUUGUUUUAAUUGUUCAUUUAUAUUAUUUGAUUUUAUUAUUUAUAUUGAUUGAUUAUUUUAAUUAUUUAUUGAUCAAGUGAAUGUAAAUAUUUAAUUAUUUAUUUUAAAUGUUAGAAAUUUAUUUCAAUUAAAUUUUAAUUACAUAUUUUUAUUAUUAACAUUUAUUCAUUAUUUACAUUUUUCAUUUUCAUUUAAAUAAUCAUUUAAUUAUUAUUUAAAUGUUCAUUAUUUAUUUUAGUGCAUUUAAAUUAAUUAUUUAUUCCAAUUGUUUUUCAUUUAUUUGUUUGAAUUUUUCAUUUAUAUUAUUUCAUUUAAUUAUUUAUAUUGAUUGAUUAUUUAAAUUAUUUAUUGAUCAAGUAAACGUAAAUAUAUAAUUAUUUAUUUUAAAUGUUCAAAAUUUAUUUUAAUUAAAUUUUAAUUACAUAUUUUGAUUAUUAACAUUUAUUCAUUAUUAACAUUUUUCAUUUAUCAUUUAAAUAAUUAUUUAAUUAUUAUUUAAGUGUUCAUUAUUUAUUUUUGUGCAUUUAAAUUAAUUAUUUAUUCCAAUUGUUUUUCAUUUAUUUGUUUCAAUUGUUCAUUUAUGUUAUUUGAUUUUAUUAUUUAUGUUGAUUGAUUAUUUAAAUUAUUUAUUGAACAAGUAAAUGUAAAUAUUUAAUUAUUUAUUUUAAAUGUUAGAAAUUUAUUUCAAUUAAAUUUUAAUUACAUAUUUUGAUUAUUAACAUUUAUUUAUUAUUUCCAUUUUUUAUUUAUCAUUUAAAUAAGCAGUUAAUUAUUAUUUAAGUGUUCAUUAUUUAUUUUUGUGCAUUUAAAUUAAUUAUUUAUUCCAAUUGUUUUUCAUUUAUUUAUUUCAAUUUUUUAUUUAUAUUAUUUGAUUUUAUUAUUUAUGUUGAUUGAUUAUUUUAAUUAUUUAUUGACCAAGUAAACGUGAAUAUUUAAUUAAUUAUUUUAAAUGUUAGAAAUUUAUUUCAAUUAAAUUUUAAUUACAUAUUUUGAUUAUUAACAUUUAUUCAUUAUUUACAUUUUUCUUUAUCCUUUAAAUAAUCAUUUAAUUAUUAUUUAAAUCUUCAAUAUUUAUUUUAGUUCUUUUAGAUUAAUUAUUUAUUCCAAUUUUUUUUCAUUUAUUUGUUUGAAUUGUUCAUUUAUAUUAUUUCAUUUAAUUAUUUAUAUUUAUUGAUUAUUUAAAUUAUUUAUUGAUCAAGUAAACGUAAAUAUUUAAUUAUUUAUUUUAAAUGUUAGAAAUUUAUUUCAAUUAAAUCUUAACUACAUAUUUUGAUUAUUAUCAUUUAUUCAUUAUUUAAAUUUUUUAUUUAUCAUUUAAAUAAUCAUUUAAUUGUUCAUUAUUUAUUUUUGUGCAUUUAAAUUAAUUAUUUAUUUCAAUUGUUUUUCAUUUAUUUGUUUCAAUUGUUCAUUUAAAUUAUUUGAUUUAUUUAUUUAUUUUGAUUGAUUAUUUAAAUCAUUUAUUGAACAAGUAAACGUAAAUAUUUAAUUGUUUAUUUUAAAUGUUAGAAAUUUAUUUCAAUUAAAUUUUAAUUAUAUGUUUUGAUUAUUAAUAUUUAUUCAUUAUUUACAUUUAUCAUUUAUUCAUUAUUUAAAUGUUCAUUAUUUAUUUUUGUGUAUUUAAAUUAUUUAUGAAAUACAAAGAAAAAAAUUUAAUGCAGUCAUCUGGAGCUGGGCCAUCCUUUCCAGAUGGUCUGGGCCGUCCUCUCUUCCCUUUCUUCUCCGGUCUAGGUGUUGUGGAUUGCCAUUUCGGCACAAAAACGCCUCAAAAAAUGCCAUUUUCAGUAAUUUUACAUAAUCUAUAAAGAUUUCUACCAUUAUUUCCAACAAGAUUUCUUCCCCUUCUUUUUUAGACGUCGGUUUGAGAGUGAUUUGUUAGGGCACUAUUGGGUUUUCAUUGUUUUUAAAGUUUUUACAGAUUUUUCAAUUUUUUUUUUAAAACAGUAGUCGAUGGCCAUUUUGGAAAAAUGUCUUUUUUUGGUGGCUAUCUGCCACCAUUUCCUCAACUGUUUUUUUUUUAAAUGUACAUUAGUCUUUAAAUAAUUAUGUACAAUUAGCAUUACUCAAACUUUAUUAAAAAGUUUAUCAAUCUUUUAACUGAUCAAACUUCAAUUCUAAAGUAUAUUUAUUAAAAUUCAUAAUUGUUAUCAGUUUUUAACAACACAUAAGUUUAUUAAAAUCUUAAAACUUUUAUAAAUAACUUUGUCGAAGAACUAAAGAAAAAGUUAAUUUCUUUACCAAAUAAGUUACUUUACCUAUAAUUAAAACUUCGUAUUUGAAGUUUAAUUAAUUCAAAUAUCUAUUUUAGAAUUUAGUUGUAACUCAUACUCUUUUGUGCUCCAUCUGAAGUUAUGAAUGAAAAAUACACGCACUCGCUCACCUUGAAGUAUAAUUGUAAUUUAGUCAUUUUAUUCUAACCACGUGAAGAUGUUAAUUUUAUUUUACGUAACUCAUUAAUAACAGUCCAAUCUAUAAUUCUUUUUGUCGUUCUAAGGGUCACAGCUACAAGUUGUGCAUAGAAUAUAUCUAUAGUGUAUAAUUUCAUGCUCAUACGGCCAUGACUCGAUUUUCAUCCCGCAAUUUCGAUCACUUGAGUCCUACAUAUUAACCUAUAACAAAGUUGAUUUCUUAAAAUAAAAUUUCAAACUUUAAUAACUAUGAUGUCAAUCCAUUUUUAAUCAAAAUAUAUAAUGAAGCAACAACAUAUUAAGUUAAAAUUUGAUUUAAUUUUGUCUAAUUAAAAUAUUGUUAACAAAAUUUCUCAACCACAGCCUGCCGCGUGGAGAAAGCGGGACGAGAACGGGGAUCAUAGUUCCUGCCUCGAACAAAAUUAAAAGCUAACUCCUCAUCCUAUAUAAACUGUUAAGGACUUUCACUUUGGUGUUUUAUUCAUCACAAUUCAAGAAAUAAUUAUAAUUAUAAUAUACUAUCUCGGGAUCCCUUGUAGUCUUGCUGGUUUUUAGGAAGGGGUCUGCUCAGUACAUGUGUCCUUGGGUUUUUUUUGAGGUCUGGAGCAUGUUACUGUGAUUGUCAACAUGCUAUAGGUAUAAUUGCUUUGACAACAACUAUGAUAGCUCUCUUACGUUAGGUAGUGGAGUUUGUGAUUAAAAUAAUUGCGGACUCUACAUGGUGUGAAUGUGUUGUAAAUAUGUACAUAUAUCAUUUUCCUUGUGAUUGUUAUAAUUUUUCACAUAAUCGAAUCUCCGUUUAAAUUUUUUUUUGAAAGAAUGAAUCACAACAUUGGUUCAUAUUCCCUAUCAUUCAGAAAAUCCUUGGAACAAGCUUGAAUAAUAGCAGAAUAACGUUAUUUAGUACGUUCUAAGUGAUAUGUUAAAAAAAUAAAUCUUAUUUAGCCCCUAUUUGGUAGGAUUUUUUUUUUUUUUUUGGAAAAAUGAAUUAUGAAAUAGUGAAUUUUUUUAAUUAAAAAAAUGUAUAAUUAAAAAACUCUGUAGUAUGGACACUUCAAUUAGGGUAGCGUGUCCAUGUAUGACACAUUUCGAAUACUGACACUUUCGAAUACUUUAUUAUGAUCAUUUUUCCUUUUUAUUAGAAGUAUUAUAUAUCUUUAACUCAAAAUUAUUAGUAAAUAACAAAUAAAUAUUCAUAUUUAAAAUAUUUCAACAAGAAAAAUUCUAAGAAGUACAAAAAUAAGUUUGUAUUGUAUAAAAGAAGAAUUUUAAAGAAUUUAAUUAAUGUAUCGACGAUGUGUCGUGUUUGUAUUUUUGUAACAACAUAGCAUGUCGGAUUAUCCAAUGCAUGUCAUGUCAGUGCAUCAUAAUUAAAAGCACGAAAAAAUUUUGAGUUUACAUGCAAAAUAAUUUAUUGUGUAAAUGUAUACUUGAAAAUGAGUUUGAGAAAAAAGAAUUUUGUUUUAAUGAAUGACAAAUAGAGGUUUAAUAAGAUUCAUAAUUUGUGUCGAUGUUUUAACCAUAUAUACAUUCAUCAGAACAUUAAAACUUUUAUCAAAACUCUGUCAAACUACCUAACAAAAAGUUAAUUUUUUGACCGAAUAAAUUACUUUUAUUUAUAAGUUAAGCUUGCAUUUGAAGCUUAAUUAAUUAAAAUAUUUAUUUUUAAAUUUAGCUGUAACUUGUACUCUUUCGUGCUCCAACUGAAAGUUUUGAAUAACGAAAAUCACUCACCUUGAAGUAUAAUUUUUAAUUUAGUCAUUUUAUUCCAAACAUGUGGAAAUGUUAAUUACUUUUUGAGAUGGUGGUGGAUCAACACCCUCCUGUUUGUCUGGUAGUGCUCGACGUUUCGUCUACUCCGUCCUGUUUGUCGGGUAGUGCUCGGUGUUUCGUCUACUCCGUCAAGUAUAUAUGACCUGAAAAAUGAAGGCCGGGCUUCCUCUCCCGUUUUACCUCCUGUGUGAUAAUUAGUUUAUAGGCUUGGAAAAAUGUGAUUGAAAUUCUAAUGGUGAAAAAGAGAGAUAGAGAGAGAGAACCUUCUACCUGUGUCGCGUCCGGAGGUAUUUAUAGACAUUAGGGGCCGGAUAACCGCUGGACGGAUGUGGUGCCACGUGUCCCACGUUGGCGUUCCCAUUAUGCCCACGUUCUGAAUGGGGGGUCUCUAGUUUCUCGCCUGGAGAUUGUUUCCGUAUUAGCGGCCAUGGAACCUAAUUAAUUCUCUAGGAGUUUUAUGGCUAAGUGUUUGGAUAGACAGUCCCAUGCCAGUUGUAGACCUCACGUAGGGUGGAGCGCCCCUAGGGGGACGACGACCUCGCGUAGUGGUAGGGUCGAUGUCCUCGCGUAGUGGUAGAGCGCCCCUAGGGGGGUCGACGACCUCGUGCAGUGGUAGAGCGCCCCUAGGGGGGUCGACGACCUCGCAUAGUGGUAGAGCGCCCCCUGGAGGUAGUGGUAGAGGGCCCCUAGGGGGUCGACGACCUCGCGUCGAAGUGCUGUGAUUCAUCUUGCUUGCCGUCGAAGGUGGUUUCCUCUACUAACCUAUAUCAUUAGCCCCUAUCCCUUGUCGAUGUUCUCGGCAAGGGGUAGCAAUUUUCUUUAUUUAGGUUGGUUUGAAAAUUUUCCUCUUUCCUUUUUUUUUUUUUUUUUCCUUUUUUUUUUUUUUUUGGACAAAGGAGUAGUCCGUAUUAAUAAAUCGAACAAUGUAAACGCGAUCGAGUGGUAAUUUUACUGUACACAUGGCACCCCACCAAUGGUCCCAAUAUUGGAGGGAAAAUUCCCCCCAAAAGUUAGAAUUCUUGUGUUUAUAAAAGGGGGGUAAUUCCUAUUUUUGAGAAUCACUUUCACUUUCACUCAACAUCCUAGGCCUCCUACCUUCUAAGGUAAUUUUCUCUCCUCUUUUAAUCCAAAGUCUUGCUUUGAAUUUCUUCUCUUCAUCUUCUUUGUUGUCAUGUAUAAAACUAUUCUUUCUUCUCCUUCCAAUGAGAAAAGUGAUGGAUAUAGUGACUCGAUCGGACCUUCGUUGGAGGGUAUGGGAGGGGAUCCAACCGACCCAUGGGGGGGCCGGUCGGCGACCAGCUUAGAUGGCCGGUCAAAUAGUCGACUAGCCCUACGACUGGUCGGCCUAUGGCCAGCCUUCGGGCUGGCCGUCCCCUGCCCUCUCCUAAGUCUCGCGGCCUAUCUGGCCCAUCGAUCCGGCCCUCUAGUGACUCGCCUCCUUCAUCUGGUAGAUCUCUUCAUGAUAUUGAUAGUGAAACUCAUUCAAUCGAUUCUCAGGCGUUUGUUCCAAAUCCCUAGAAGAGACACAUUAGUUCUUCCAAAUUUCCAAAUCAAAAUUUAGAAAUUGGGCGAGACCCGGCUGGUGAGGUUGUCCCCCUAGAUAUCCCAAAAAGUUAUAGUCUUUACAAUUCACCACUUAAAUUGGAAAAAUGUCUAGGUAAGUAUGACCGGGUGGAUGACUACGUUUAUAGAGCCCCCGGUCCUAAAGAAAGACUCCCCGGGUCCGACCCCUGUGAGAUAGUUGUAUACAAGGACGUUAUGUACGGGGGUCUUCGGUUCCCCAUUCAUCCCUUUUUUGUGUCGAUUUUCAACGAGUUCCACCUUACUCCUAGUCAAAUUAAUCCUAAUGCGUGGAGAAAUGCGUUAUAUUUUCUAUAUGUCUGUCUUAAACGGGGAAUUUCGCUUUCCAUGGAUCUUUUCAGGUGUGUCUUCGAAAUGCAUGAGCUAGUUCAGUGUAAUGCGUUUGUCUAUUUUACCACUAGGGUUCCUUUGCAAUUUCCUAAGUUUAGAAAUUCGAAUAGCGGAUGGAAGUCCCGAUUCUUCUUUGUCCGGCCUUCAACGGGUCAAUUCUCUUUUAACACCAAUUGGCGACACCCCCAAAUUCGUCUUUUCAAUAGCCAAGUAGAAGUUACCCCCUUUCUAGAAGCUCAAAUUCAAGAGUUGGUCAAUGUACCUCCUUUUGCACCUGACUUAGAAUCAGUUCUGACCAUGAAGAAUAUGUUGAUAGUGGGGAUGAGUCGUCCUACCGGUAGGUUGUUUCCGUCGAUUUUUUUAUAUUGCGUGCACACACGUUUACUUAUUAUUUUUGCUCUUAGUUUGUCGGAACUAAUGAGUUUGGAUGUGCGCGUUCAGGUAUAGACUUUGAUCUUGAUGGGGUAUUGAAGACUCUGCCAGGAGGCGAUGAGGGGCAUGCCUUUGUUGAUGGUUAGCUCUUGUGCUCACCUCUUCCAUCCUCCCCCCCCCCCUUUUUUUAUUUUUUUUUAUACUCUACCUUGUGACCUUAACGGAUUCCAACUUAUAUGUGCAGGGGUAGAGCUUGAUCUUGAAGGGAUUAUGGAUUUCAUGCCUGUUCAGGGAUAGGAGGGUGAGGCGGAUCCAUCACCUAUCCCUUCGAAGAGAAGGAGAGCGGCCAACCUAGGGGAGAAGUCUUGGAUGAUCAACGAGACUUCACAGCCUUCAGAUGAGCCUCAUGAGGUGGCUCCAGUUCCUAAGCCGCGAGCUCCGAGAUGCACACGUUGCGAGCGCGAGGACUCACUCCCUAACUUUAGGUUUCCUCCUACCCAAGGUUAUCAUGAGAUGGGGGUGCUAAAGUCUUUGGUGACACCUGCUCGUUCCAAAGCAAUUGCAGGACGUAGUGCAGAUAACAUUGAAAGGGCUGUGGCUGUUUAUCUCCAGAGGGUAUGUUUCCCAUUUUGCAAUUUCUUUCAUGUUGGGUCUCGCCUUUUAAGCUAGGUUUUAAUGCUUGAUUUCACCUUUUCCCCCUAUUUUUUUUAGGUGGUGGCCCUCCAGACCGGACUCGCAGAAUCGAAUCGCCGCCUGGUCUCGGAGCUGAAAAAUCUCACUGAAGAAAAGAAAAAGGAGACUCAUCACUACAAGAAAAAAAUAUCUUGAAGAAAUCUCUGGAGACGUCGGACGCUUGAGCUCGCGAGCAGGAGACGGAGAACGACAACCUACAUUCUGUUUUGGCUGGCGCUCCUGAGGAGGCGAUUGAGAAGUAUAAGGCCUCAGCUGAAUAUGCUAGAGAUCUCAAGGCAUCUGUGGAACAGUAUAAGACGUCGUCUAAUUACGCUAGGGCUUUGAAUUCAUAUGGGGGGAAGGCGAUGUCAGCGUCUAUCAAAUUCUCGAAGGAGUGGAUUAUGGCCGAGCAUCCAUCUAUAGACCCCUCUGCCCUGGAUAGAUUUCUUGCACAGCGCAAGGGAAAGGAGUGUGCAGCUCAGUCGUCCAGGUCACUUGGUUGUUCAUCACGAGGCGAUAGUGGGGAUCUCUCCCCUUUAGGCUGAAGCAUUUCUUAAUUGUUGUUUUCUUUGCUAGCUCUUCCUUUUUCGUGUUUACUUUUGUUUAGUCUUGUUAUCUCCUACUUGCUCGAGGUGUGGGUAAGAAUUUCUCGGAUGUAUAAACACGUUUUUCAUUCGAUAUCAUUAGUGCUGAGUGCGUGGUUCUUUCAAAUUGUUGUCUCUCGUGUUAUUUUUCUUUUUACUGCCUGAUGGUGCGGGGUGUUAGUUUUUUCUUUUUUGUCUGACUAGCGUCCAGUGAUCGAUGGCCUUAGCCAAAUUUAGCCUUAUGUUACCCUGUGCUUAAGGAGCAGGCUAUGUCGUCCACAGGGAGAGGGGUCCAGCGGUUUAGGACCUUAGCUAACUUUUUGACAUUUCAUGGUUCUUCGCCUAGCUGCGUAGGCUCUGUCGAUUGCACAGGAUGGUUUGACGGUUGAAGGCCUUAGCCAAUUUUUUGACUUUUCAAGGCUCUCCGCCAUGCUAUGUAGGCUAUGUCAACCGCAGGGGUGGUCUGACAGUUAAGGGCCUUAGCCAAUUUUUUUACUUUUCAAGACUCUCCACCUAGCCGUGUAGGCUAUGUUGACCGCAGGGGGUGGUCUGGCAGUUAAGGGCCUUAGCCAAUUUUUUGACAUUUCAAGGCUCUCCGCCUAGCCGUGUAGGCUAUGUCGACCACAGGGGGUGGUCUGGCAGUUUAGAGCCUUAGCCAAUUUUCUGACUUUUCAAGGCUCUCUGCCUAGCCGUGUAGGCUAUGUCGACCACAGGGGGUGGUCUGGCCGUUAAGGACCUUAGCCAAUUUUUUGACUUUUCAAGGCUCUCUACCUAGAUGCGUAGGCGAUGUCGACAUCAUGUCUUCGUGGGAUGAGCGUGGAUUUCAAAGUUGCCUGUUAGCAUAAAAAAAUCUUGGUCUUGUGAGCUCAGUAGGCGGACUGGGACGUCCUAGCUAGGCUGGCCCUUCCGUAGCACCCUCAUCAUCUGUCACCGCCAAGGUCUUUCAUUGGAUAAGAAAUGUUACAAAUAAAGGUGCUUUCGUGAGGCAUUACAUGGAGAAAAUAAACGAUGCAACCUAGUCUACUGUACUUACAAAAGUGCAGCCUGUGCGUACAUUUCGAAAUCUACUGGUAAUAAUUUUUGAGGUGUUCUGCGUUCCACGGUCUACCUAGCGGCCUUCCUUUCAUAUCUUUCAAGCUGUAAGCUCCCUUCCUCAGCCUGCUGAUUACCUCGUACGGGCCUUCCCAGUUUGGACCAAGCUUUGGUGGGGGGUGUCCUUCUGCCGCUGCAUCUCUUGGCACGAGAUCUCCUGGCUGGAAGACCCUUGGCUUGACUCUCCGGUUUAAGUACUCGGCGGCUCUUCGUUUAUAAGCCAUCAUUCUUAUUGUCGCCUUAUCCCUUAUCCCUUCAAGGAGGUCGAGUUCUCCUCUAGUCGUUGCUUCGUCGUGUUGCUUGACUUUCAUCCUUCCCGUCUCGCUUAAUAUCUCAACCGGAACCACGGCUUCCAUCCCAAAAGCCAGUUUGAAUGGCGUCUCCCCGGUCGACUCUCGGGGAGUUGUGUGAUAUGCCCAUAGUACAUUGGGCAAUUCCCCCGCCCAAAGCCCUUUCUCCUUUUCCAGCCUCGUCUUCAAAUCCCAUAGUAUGGUUUGGUUGGUCACUUCAGCCUGCCCAUUUGUCUGUGGGUGAGCAACUGAAGUCAGCCUGUGGUCGAUGUUGUAACUUGUGCAGAAGGCUCGAAAACUAUGAUUAUCGAAUUGUUUUCCAUUAUCUGUAAUGAUUACUCUGGGUAUGCCAAACCUGCAUACGAUAUUCUUCCAGACGAAUUCCUGUACCUUUGUAGUUGUGAUGGUGGCCAAGGGUUCAGCCUCCACCCACUUAGUAAAGUAAUCUACAGCGACUAGCAAGAACUUCCAUUGUCCCUUGGCCAGGGGCAAAGGUCCCAAGACGUCCAUCCCCCAUUGGAAGAAAGGACACACCCUGAAAAUUGCCGUCUGUUGCUUGGUUGGAAUGUGGAUCAAAUUUCCAUGGCGUUGACAUGCAUCGCAUUUCCUCACCAAAUCUUUAGCAUCUUCCUUCAUACUAGGCCAAUAAUAUCCUUGUCGAAGCGUCCUGAACGCAAGGGCAGUGGCCCCUUGGUGGUUGCCACAAAUUCCCGCAUGUACCUCGACUAGCACCUCCUGUGCCUCUGUUGGUCGCAAACACUUCAAAUAUAGCAUUGUGAAACCUCGCUUGUAGAGUAGUCCAUCGAUGACGGCAAACGAGGCUGCCCGAAUUUUUAGCCUUCUCGCAGUGAAAGCAUCUUCCAGCAAUUUGUUCUUUGUUAGAUAUUCAAACAGCGGGUCCAUCCAACUCUCCUCAUGCUCUACAUUCAUAACAUCAGUCGAAUGUGGGAUGCUAGGUUGCCGCAGAAUUUGCACGCUUGCUGUGCAAGGCAGACGUCUAGGGUUAGCGGAUGCGAGCUUAGCCAGCGCGUCCGCCCGCUCAUUGUCCUUUCAGGGAACCUUAGUUAUCUUAAACCUGGUGAACGCCUUAUGCAAGUUUUUGACCUCCAUUAAAUAUGCUGCCAUCUUUCCGUCUCUUGCUUCGAAUUUCCCCGUCACUUGCCCGAUUAUCAACCGAGAGUCGCUGCAAAUUUCUACUGAAGUUACCCCGAGUCUGGCUGCCAAUCUUAAACCCGUGAUCACUGCCUCGUACUCGACAUCGUUAUUUGUAGCUGGGAAUUCAAAAUGCAGCGAGUACUCCAACUCUUCCCCAUUCGGCCCUAUCAUUAUGAUCUCAGCCCUGGAUCCUUCGUCGUUCGAAGAUCCGUCGACAAAGAUUUUCCAAUCUGCCUGUCCCCCUGGUGGGUGCUCGGGCGGAAGGGUGAGUUCAACGAUGAAGUCUACUAGAGCUUGUGCCUUAAUAGCCGUCCUUGGCCUGAAUUCAAUAUCAAACUCACUUAACUCGAUUGCCCAUUUCAACAUCCUCCCAGAGGUCUCGGGCCGAUGUAGGAUCUGCUUGAUAGGUUGGUCGGUCAUUACUUGCACCGUAUGAGCCUGAAAGUAAGGCCUCAGCUUUCUAAUUGCUAUAAUCAAUGCAAACACCAGCUGUUCAGCCAGGCUGUAUCUUUCCUCCGCGCCCCUUAAUACUUGGCUCACAUAGUAGACUGGUUUUUGCGCCUUUGAGAACUCUUUCACCAGCACCGCACUGACUGCCCUUGGCGACACUGCCAAGUAGAGACACAACAUGUCCCCGGGGCACAGGUUGGUCAAGAUCGGGGGCUCUUGUAAUGACUGCUUCAAGCUCCUAAGUGACUCUUCACAUUCCUGGGUCCACUCGAAGUUAAAGGAGCCCCCUAUAGCUUUGAAAAAGUGGUAGCAUUUGUCCGCUGCCCGGCUCAUGAAACGAUUUAAGGCGGCUACCCGCCCUGUCAACCUCUAGACUUCCUUCCUGCUGGUGGGACUUUUCAUUUCUAGGAUCGCCUGAAUUUUGUUCGACAACAUCUUCAAUCAGCCUACGGAAGACUUUGUUUACCAUCCUCUGAUCCGUCGCUCCUGUAUUUUUCAAUCCAAACGGCAUGGCCGUGUAACAGUACGUGCCAAAGUCAGUGAUAAAUGACGUCUUCUCUUGGUCGGACUCGGCCAUUGAAAUUUGAUGAUGCCCCGAAAAUGCAUCUAGGAAGCUGAGCCUUCCGUGACUUAAAGUUGCGUCUACCAGUUGAUCUAUUUUGGGAAGCGGGUAUGAGUCUUUUGGGCACACCUUAUUCAAUCCAGUAUAAUCUACACACAUGCGCCACUUUCCGUUUGACUUCUUCACAAGUACAAUGUUUGCCUGCCACUCGGGGUACUACACUUCUCGAAUGAAACUCGAUUGUAGCAGUUUUUCUACCUCCGCUCUGGCUGUAUCCUGCCUCUCGGGGGCGAGAUUUCUUUUUUUCUGCUUCACUGGCUUAGCCCCUGGUUGGACACUGAGGCGGUACUGCGCGACAGUUGGGCUAAUUCCUGGGAUAUCCUCUGGGCCCCAAGUGAAGAUAUGCAAGUUACCGGCUAGACACCUUGCCAAUUUUUCCUUCUCUUCGGAUUCCAAACCUGUUCCAACACUAAACUCCUGUCCUCGGCAAUAAAGAUUUUUUCAAUCAUAUUGAGCGGUUUGAUCCGCUCCUUCGGGAGUUCCACAUCUAGCAUCAUGACUGAUGGUGAGCCUUUGGCUUGUAUACUAUCCACAUAGCACUUUCUUGAUGCUUGCUGGUCCCCUCGCACGCUCCCGAUUCCCCUACUAGUUGGAAACUUCAUAACUUGAUGAUAGGUCGAUGGGACCGCGCCAGCUGCAUUUAGUAAUGGCCGGCCGUAGAUAGUGUUGUAGGCCACGGGGGUCUUGACAACCAAGAAAUUAGUCACGAUGACCACUGUCGCUGGGUAUGUCCUUAGCGUGACUGAAAGCUCCAAGUCCCCUCCGGUAUCACUGUUGUCCUCCAAAGCCUUGUAGGGAGGUAGUCACCAUCUUCAACUUCUCUUGGGGAACUUUUAGACUCAAGAAGGCAUCCCAGGUGAGGACAUUUGCCGCACUUCCUCCGUCGACUAACACCCUUUUCACGUCAAAAUCCACUAUAUUGCCUACUAUUACUAAGGUGUCAUCAUGGGGGUGCGUUACACUAAUCAAGUCCUCUUCAUCGAAAGUAAUGCUCUGGUUGAAUCUUGCUUUUUUCUGAAUAGAGCAGACCCCUACGGAACGCGUAUAGCUCUUUCUAGCCGAGUUUGAGUCGCCGCCUAAUGCUAUUCCUCCGAUGAUCAUGUUUAUCACUCCUGCCCUCGGUGGGGGUAGACCUUCGAGCCUUUGCUUUCCCUUGUCAUUUUUCACAUACUUAGCCAAUAGUCCCCGUCUUAGCGGGCACUCAAUUUCUUCCUUUAACUGUAGGCAUUCUUCGGUGUCAUGCCUGUGAUCUCUGUGAAAAUGGCAGUAUUUACUUUGAUUUCUCUUGCUGGAAGGAGUUAGCAUCGGUUUAGGCCAUUCGAGCUCUUUCAUGUGUUAUAUCUCCAUCAAUAACUUUGUACGUGGAAUGUUCAAAGGGAUGGGUGUCUUGACCUCCUCUCGCUUCUGCCUGACUGGUCGGUCUUGGGCAUAACCCUUGUUCAUGCGUUCAUUCUUCGGCUUGUUCUUAUCAGUGUGUCUUUGCUCGUCAUAUGUUUUUCGCUUAUGAACUUCCGCCUCCCUUCCAUCCCUGAGAUUUUUAGUUAUCUUCUCUGCUUCUUCCGCAUCGACAUACUUGUCUCCCUUCUUCAAUAGGUCAUGCAUCGAUUUUGGGGAGGUUCUUGGAGAGUGACAUCUUAAAGGCCGGGUUUUGCGUUCCAUUCAUCAAGGCGAUAACCACUGCGGACAUUUGCAGGUCUCUUAUGCAAAGAGUUGUCCGGUUGAAUCUAGCUAAGUAUUCCUGCAAUGACUCGUCCUUAUCCCACACGACUUGCAUCAACCCAAUGGCUAUCUUCCUCUUUUUUUUGCUGCUUAGGAAGUAAGCUACAAAGCUCCUGGAGAGCUCAUCAAAUGACUUGAUGGACUGCGGGGCCAAGGUCGCUACCCAGUCCUUAGCCUCCCUCCUGAGUGUGGGGGGAAAGGAUCAGCACAUCACCGCGUCUGGGGUGGCAUAAAGUCUCAUCAGAUCUAUGAAGGUUCGCAAGUGGUCAAGCGGGUUCGUGACUCCGUCAUAUGCUUCUAUCAUGGGCUGUUUGAAGCCUUUAGGCAAGGGGACAGCCAUGAUUUUCGGUGCGAACGGGUCUUCCUCCAAAACCAUCUGUCUUCGCCUAUCCUUUCUCUUGGACAAGGCAUCAUCUAUCUUCUGGGCCAUGAUUUCUUCCAUCUUUUGUUCCAGGUCUACCAUGGUUUGCGGGGGCUGUUGAGCUUUGAUCACUAGGGCUCCCGUAUCUCCCACCCCCCGCCGAGAGAUGGGCGGGACAAUCGCGGGUGGCGCUUGAGGCGGUUGCUGGCUCGUCACUUCCGUCGGGUUCAAUGGAGGGACAGUGGCUCUCUACGACUGGUCUUGUAGGAGUGCCAUCAUUGCUGCCAACUAAGUCUCUAAAGCGCUGAAUUGACUCUGCGUCACGUACUGCGGGGACGACGGCGGCUCACGUCCCCUUGCAACUGACUUCGACUCCGUCGUAUUUGCAACUAGGCAAGUAUCACUCCUUGUUCAUCUUCUUGACAUGGCUUUUUAGUUCAAAUAGUUUCCCACAGAUGGUGCCAAUGAGAUGGUGGUGGAUCAACACCCUCCUGUUUGCCUGGUAGUGCUCGGCGUUUCGUCUACUCCGUCAAGUAUAUAUGACCUGAAGAAUGAAGGCGGGGCUUCCUCCCCCGUUUUACCUCCAGUGUGAGAAUUAGUUUAUAGGCUUGGAAAAAUGUGAUUGGAAUUCUAAUGGUGAAAAAGAGAGAUAGAGAGAGAGAACCGUCUACCUGUGUCGCGUCCGGAGGUAUUUAUAGACAUUAGGGACCGGAUAACCACUGGGCGGAUGUGUUGCCACGUGUCCCACGUUGGCGUUCCCAUUAUGCCCACGUUCUAAGUGGGAGGUCUCUAGUUUCCGGCCUGAAAAUUGUUUCCGUAUUAGCGGCCAUGGAACCUAGUUAAUUCACUAGGAGUUUUAUGGCCAAGUGUUUGGAUAGGCAGUCCCAUGCCAGUUGUAGACCUCGCGUAGGGUGAAGUUCCCCUAGGGGGUCGACAUCCUCGCAUAGUGGUAGAGCGCCCCUAGGGGGGUCGACGACCUCGCGUAGUGGUAGAGCACCCCCUGGAGGUAGUGGUAUAGCGCCCCUAGGGGGUCGACGACCUCACGUCGAAGUGCUGUGAUUCAUCUUGCUUGCCGUCGAAGGUGGUUUCCUCUACCAACCUAUAUCACUUUUCACGUACCUUACUAAUAACAAUUCAAUCUAUAAGGGUUAUGGCUACAAGUUGUGCCUAGAAUAUAUCUAUAGCAUAUAGUUUAAGAUAAGCGCGUUUUUACACAAUUAUUCGAUCCACAAAACAUGACUAAUUAUUGAUAAAAUUGGUUGAUUAUGACUUAAUUUUAUGCAAUUUCAUGUUAUAGAGCCAUAUUGAUGGAUAUGAUGGAACUCAAGAGAAAAGAUGAAAAAAAAGGCAAAAACGAAAGAAAAUGAAAGUUCAGGGACCAAGUUGCAAAUAAUCAUAGAUGAGACGGGCGAUGGAAUGAAGAUUCAAGAGUGUUAGAGGUCAAUCGGAUGAGGAAAGAAGUCAAAGAGAUGAAUUAUGGUCGAAGUAUUAUCACAUAUCAACUUUCAGACAAAAAAGCUAUGCUCGAGAUUUUUAGUUUCUACUUGAGACUCAUUUUUGGCAUAGUAAACAUUAGAAUUUGAGAAAGCCUACUUUUAUCAAAAUUGUAUAUCUUUGAAUUAGCUUUCCAAUGCACUUUGAAUCACUACAAUCAAAGAUCGGGAGAGAAAGUUAUGAGAAAAAUACUGAUAGUUGUCUGGCGAAAAAAGUGUUUGAACUAUGCGGUCACAUAGUAGUAUUCAGAGACUUCAAUUGGGCAUUUUGGCAUAACUAUGUGGUCACAUAGCCCAAAAUCUGGGACCGAUUCUGUAGUUUCCUAUUUUCGAUAUAAUUCCUUUGGAACUCAAUUGGGAUGCGAUAUAAAAAACUAGAGUCAUCAUAUUUCUGGAGGGAACGCAUUGGAGGACAACAAAACACAUCUUGGAGACGAAUUUGAGGGAGAUUAACGUAGGAUUUCACGCGUAUCUAUAAUCUGGUGACGAAUUUGAGGGAGAUUAACGGAGGAUUUCACGCGUAUCUAUAAUCUGGUGAUGUUUUAUCUUCAAGAAUUCAUGUAUUCCUUUAUGUUUUCCAUGCUAGGCUAGAAAUUCUUGUGCUAGGGGAUCGAUGGAUCUUGUAAUGUGAUUCUUAAUUCCUUGCUUCAUAUUUUUGACAUUAAAACACGUUUGAUUAUUUUGAAUGAUUUAUAUGCAUUUAAUUUCUUCCGCAAGUAAGGGCCCGUAAUUGUGCGAGUUUUGGUGACUUAUUUCUUGCAUUCAAGAGAAGGAAAAUAGGUUUGACCAGGUAUAAAUCAUCGUAGAGUCCGAUAGAGGAUAGAGAUAUACCGCUAUACUCUGCAUGAAUCUUUAAGUGCUUACAAAACUACAUGCAUUCUUGCAUAUUUGCACCCGUCAUAGAAAUAUAGGCUGAUGAUAAAUGAGAGUGGAUUCAACUUUAUUCGAAAGAGACUGUUAGAUAGAUUCAAGAACAUUGAUUCAUCAUAAUUUCAACGUGUUGUCAAAAUUAUAGAACUAGAGUUAAAUUGAGCAUUGCUUGGGGAUUCGUAAUUUUAGUGCGUUAUACAUUCAUUUAGGGUUGGUCAAAUCUCUCGAACUGAACCGAACUCGACACGAAUCGAACCGAAACCGACGGUUCUUGUCAAAUUAAAUAUCCAAACGGAUAUCUAAAUUGAGAACCGACGGGUACGGUUCGGUUCUCGGUUCUAGACCAAGAACCGAAUAACCGAAUAAGAACCGAAUCUUUCUAAUUUUUUUUAUUGAGUAAAUCAAAUUAUUUUAAUUUUAAUUUUUUCUAAACAAAUUAACAAAUUAAUGAUUUCUAAAUCCAAAUUUUUAGCCCAAUAAUUUGUUUCAUUUCUAAUUUUUUAAUUUUUGGCCCAAUUACCAUUUUAUUGUUUCAUUUCUUAGCCAAACAAGAUCAAAUCCACUAAAUAUCCCAAAACACCUACACUAAAGUGCAUAACGUUGUCUCGACUCUCGCACUCACUCUCGCAGCCUCGCUAAUAUUACAAAACAUAUACAAUCGUCGGCCGACACUGUGACCUCCGAUCGAAGUUGUGACCUCUGCCGAUCGAAGUUUUGAUCAUAGCGAUCAUUUAAACAAGAUAGUUUAUUAGUCUCUGACAUUCCAAAACCAUUAAAUGUAUCAUUAGUUGUAUUUAUAUAAUAUUGUUAUAAAUAUUAAAAAAUUUAAUUAUAGUACAAAACUGAACGGAAUUGAACCGAACGGAACCGAACCCGAACGGUUCCAUAAUUAUAUUUGGACCCGACGGUUCCCCGAACCAACCCGCGCCCACCCCUACAUUCAUUGAAUCAUUAAUUUGUCUUUCAAACAUUCAAUUUGCAUCUUUAGUUCAUCUAAGCGUCAAUUUGCAUUUUAAUUCAUUCAAGUCAUACACAUUUGCGUACCUAGUUUAGGUUAGGGUUUAGUUAAGCUAAAAAAAUCACUUUUGACAUUCUUGUUUCGGUUAAGGUCAUAAUAAAUAAAAUUAGGCUACUCAAUCUCUGUAGGACGAUAUUUGAAACUCUAAAUUCCACUUUAUUACUUUUUAACGAACCGUACACUUGCGGUGAAUUAAAUCGAAAGAAAAUAUUUCGUGAACAAGUUUUUAGCGCCAUUGCCAAGGAUUGAGCAUUAGUUUGGUUUUAUUUUUUCUAGGUACUAAUUCGAACUUUAAUUUUUAAAUUUUUCUUAUUUUCCAUAUUUUUAGUUUAUUUUAUAUUAUUGUGUUUAGUUAUUCAAUUUGUUUGAAUUUGAGUACUACUACUAGUUUACUUGUAGAGUUGCAUGUCAAGAUUGACUGGAGGAGAAUUAAUUCAAACAAAUCUGGGAAUUGAGCAGACCUUUCAUCGAUUGCAACAAGAGAAUAGAGAGGCACUUCAACAACAACUAGAACCAAUGGCUAAUAUGCAGAACAAUCCAAUUUUUCAAGCUAAUGAAGAAGGGGCGGCAGACGAAGGAGAUAUGCAAAUAGGAGAUUUCCUUAUCCCUCAGAUAAUCCAAAGUCAAUCCAGCUUAGUCAACCCACCAUUUGGACAAACCAACUUCCAGCUGAAAACUAAAAUGAUACAACUAUUUCAGAAUGGGCAUUUGUUUUACGGUAGAGCUGAGGAGAACCCACAUGCUCACGUCUCUCGGUUCUUGGAGAUGUGCCAACACUUCAGGUAUCAGGGUAUCUUAGAUGCCGCAAUCAAAUUGAGGAUGUUUCCACAUACUACGGGAUAAGGCAGUUGAAUGGCUUAACUCCCAACCGAUCGCCAGCAUUACUGCAUGGAAUGAUUUAGCACAGAAAUUCAGCACCAAGUUCUUCCCGUCUGCCAAGAUUGCAAAGCUCAAGCAUGACAUAUCCAUCUUCCGUCAAGGAGAAUCUGAGUCUUUUGAUGAAGCCUGGAAUAGAUUUAAAAAUAUGCUGCGGAAGUGUCCACGUCAUGGGAUCAACAAGGGACUCCAGGCCCAGUACUUCUAUGCAGGAAUACUUCCGGAUUUCAAAAGCAUGGUUGACUCUUCAUCUAACGAGUCAUUGGCUACUAAAACCAUUGAUGAGGCACACAAGUUAUUUGAGACUAUGGCUACUACAUCUGCUAUGUAGACAUCAGAACAGGCUGUUCAGAAGAGGACACCAAGAGUUUAUGAGGUAGAUACAUAUUCAGCCUUAUCAGCCAAGAUUGACUCUUUGUUUCACUAGGUGGAAAGCAUAUCACAGUUAGCGAAUGCAACAUAUCCACGGAAACCAAAUUGUGAAGAAUGUGGAGCGAAUCAUAAAACGGCGGAAUGCCCAAUUCUAUCACUGGGAAUAGAACAAGUAGAGUAUGCACAAUGGGGUCAACAUCAACAUAACUAUCGAAAUUCAGACACUUAUAAUCCUAGUUGGAAAGAACAUUCAAAUCUCUCAUUGGGUGGUACCUAAAGUCAAUAUAGAUCCCAGGGACAACAGGAGAAGACACUUCAGUUGGAAGAGAUGUUUGCAAAGUUCAUGGAAAUACUGAAAAGUACAUGGAAGCAAAUAACCAGUUCAUAAGGAAAACUGAAACUACUCUCCAAAAUCAGGGUGCUGCAAUUAAGAACCUGGAGAUGCAGUUGGGAUAGAUAGCACUUUCUAUGACAAGAAGGGCACCAAAUACUUUACCCAGCAAUAUUGAGUUAAAUCCUAGGGAGCAUGUUCUAGCGAUCACAACUCGAACUGGGAUACAACUACCUGAAAGACACAUUGAGAGGUCGGGUGUAAACAAUGAGACAGCACCCUCUACAGAAAAAGAGAUUGAACAGCAAGACGAGCAGACAAGUGAAUCCACACUAAAGGAGAGUUCAAAGACAUCAUGGGAUAAGGCAACCAUUCAGUUAACCCUUAUGAGCCACCCAUUCCAUUUUUCCAGAGGUUGAGGAAGCACAAGAAGGAGCAGCAAUAUAAGAAAUUUCUUGAAAUCUUCGAAAAGCUCUACAUCAACAUCCCAUUCGCCGAUGCACUACUCCAGAUGCCCAGCUAUGCCAAGUUCCUAAAGGACAUCUUAACAAAUAAAUGUAAGCUAGAGGAACAUGAAAUGGUGAUAUUAAUCGAAGAGUGCAGCGCCAGGAUCCAGAAAAAGCUCCCACCGAAAUUGAAAGAUACAGGGAGUUUCACUGUCCAUUGCAGAAUUGGUGAUUUUUAUUUUAAUUCAGCAUUGUGUGAUCUAGGUGCGAGUAUUAACUUGAUGCCACUCUCUGUUUUCAGAAAACUAGGAUUGGGAGAGCUUAAGGCAACCACAGUAACUCUACAGCCGGCUGAUAGAUCACCUACACAUCCACGAGGAAUUAUUGAAGAUGUAUUGGUCAAAGUGGAUAAACUCAUAUUCUCAGCAGACUUCUUGAUUUUGGAUAUGGAAGAAGACAAUGACGCGUCUAUCAUAUUGAGACGACCAUUUUUGGCUACUACAAGAGCCCUCAUAAAUGUGCAGCAAGGACAAUUAAUUUUGAGGCUGGGGGAGGAAAAAGUCUCUUUUAAUGGUUUCAAGGUAAUGAAAUACCCCAACGAGCCUGAAAGAUGUUUCCAUAUUGAAGUGGUUGACAGAGGAAUCCCCUAUAAUUUUGAAUUGAAGAAAUAGCCAAACAUUCAUGAGGCUUGUAUAGUACACUCUCUAUUCGCUCUUAUCGAUUCAAAGGAGAUUAAGGCAUUCAAUGUGGGAUUUCACGCGGAUGAGAGAGAAAGUCAAACCACCUGUAGAAAGACAGGGAUGAAAUUCGGAGGAUAACUGCAAUGCAGAACAAGACCAUAUUGAGCAAACUACGCAGGACCUCCCAAGCCAUAUUUAAAGUGCCAUAAGACACAUGUGCCAAAAGUCGAGCUGUCAACUAUAAAAUAGCCCUGGUUUGGAGGCAACCCACGUUUCUACCCUUUAUUUAUUUCGUUUUGCAUUAGUUUAGGAGUUUUUCAAUUUUUCAACAUUUUUUAUAGUUUAGGUCAUCGUUCGUCAAUGCAUGUCAAUAAAUAGCCCAAGCACAAUCCACACGAAUCCCAAUGCAUUAAGCACGAGUCAUAAGGUUGUAAUCCUGUUUUAGUCAGUCAUGGGAUCAAAUUGAACAAAGUGCAUGUUUAGAGCUAAGUUUCGUUGGUGAUUCACAUUUUUGUGAUAUAAACUUUAUAUUGAGACAUAAUUUAUGUAUAUUGCACCUUGAAAUAAGUUUGGGGGAAUGGUGCGUCACAUGGAUUCCUUCAUGCAUACCCAAGUUUAUCAAUUAUUACCAUGAGAUAUAAUACACAUACUUUGCACUUUUGUAGGAUGUCAUCGAAAAGACCUCAAUAGGAAAAGAGAAGGUCGGCUUAACAUAUGGCAUUGUAGGUCCCGAUUUUUUACUACCUCUAUACUGAUCAGGGGAAUAAUAGUUAUUCCAUUUCUUGUGCUUUCAGUUUAUUUUGUCCCUCAAUUAUACGUAUUUAAACUUCUACUUUAUUUCAGCAAUGAUGUCAAGGUUAUGUAUAAGUUUUGGGGAGAGGUGGCAUAAUUUAAUAUAAAUGUGGCAUCUAGAUUUUGGCAUCCAUUUUUCGUGUUUUAUUCGUAUUCCAUCAAUACAUUUACUUAAUUGGUGCAUUUUGUGUGCUUAUUGAGUGUUAUAAAAAAUAAUAAUAAUCUGCAUAGGUUCUUCAUUUUACUGUAUUUCUUGUUUUGUGUGCUUGUGUGGACUUCAUAACCUUGCCGACUAUGAUGAGAUUAUUGGAUAUGAUAUUAUAAACUUUGAUAUGGUGCAGAAGUUGAUUAACCGGAAUUUGUUGAUUUGGUACUUGACAACCCUUAUACACACACUCAUGCUUUACAUGUUGGUAAGUGAUUGGGUUCUUGAAUGAAGUAGGAGAAAUCGAGAAAAACCUCUAUUGUGUUGACCAAUAAUCAUUUCAGGAAUGUUUGGAGAUGGUUGAUCAAUUACAGGGGAACUUAGAGAUAGGUAGAGGCUUCGUGCAUAAAAUUAUAUUGUGUGGAUUGCCCAGACCAAUAAGGUGAAAAUUAGGUGAAAGUCUCAAGUUAGGGUUGGUUUUGGAAACUGAAUGCCUAGAAAAACAAAGAGGGGCAUAAACUAAAUUUGUGCAAAAAUAACACUUCUUUCCAUGCCUUUAUGACUCAUACAAAUAAGCUUGUAAGGAUAUUUCAAAAUCUGAUAUCCUAAAGCCAACUGGUUUGGGAGUCAUCGGCACAAAGCUCGUUACAUGGGUCAUAUAGAAAGCAAGAGGGAAAGAGAUGAAUAAAAAUAAAAAAGGUCAUCUGAUCGAGCCUUUAUAACUCGAGCGAAUAAGCCUGCAAAGGUUUAAAACAUGGUGCCCUAAAGCCAACCGAUUUGGGAGUCAUCAACCUGAAGCUCGUUAUAAGGGUUAUAUAGAAAGCAAAAGAGAAGAUGACCAAAUAAUAAUAAUAAUAAUAAUAAUAAUAAUAAUAAUAAUAAUAAUAAUAAUAAUAAUAAAGAAAAAAAAACACAAUAACAUGAAGAAAGUCCUUGGACAUUUGGUUGAUGAAACUACACCUUUAAUGUAAGGCUAGUAACUUAGUUUAAUCUCAAGGGUCGAAGCAAUAAAACUAGGAGAGCCUUUACUUGUUGACAUAUAAACCUGUAGUAGUGAGAUCUAUCCAAACUAAGAGAGGGUAAGGAUUGGAAGUACUUAAACUUCUAACUUUAGAACACACCUCGAGAUAAUUGAGUGAAAAGACUAAGUUCGGGAGGUGUGUAUCUCUCGAGCGAGGUAAGGAUAUAUCAGAUCACUUUGGGUCGGGUUUAAUCCAUCAUGAGCAUAAUAUGUUGGCAUGAUAACACACACACGCGCGCGUUGAGUAUGCAUUAAACAGAUAAGGUUGAUUUUCUUCUUGCACUAUUGAAACUGUUCAUUGUGUUGAUUACUGAAUUUCAAUCCUGAGACUCGACAAGUUGUCAAGCUAUGUUUUGUGUAGAGUUAAAUCACUAUUUUGUUUGAGGCCAAACAAUAGUUCAAGUUUGGGGGUUUGAUAAGUGCAUUUUUACACACUUAUUUGAUCCACAAAACAUGACUAAUUAUUGAUAAAAUUGUUGAUUAUGACUUAAUUCUAUGCAAUUUCAUGUUAUAGGGCCAUAUUGAUGCUCAAAAGAAAAGAUGCAAAAAAGGGCAAAAACGAAAGAAAAAGGAAAGUUCAGGGACCAAGUUGCAAAUAAUUCAUAGAUGAGACGGGCGAUGGAAUGAAGAUUCUAGAGUGUUAGAGGUCAAUCGGAUGAGAAAAGGAUUCAAAGAGGGGUCAAAGUAUUAUCACGUAUCAAAUUUCAGACGAAAAAACUAUGCUCGAGAUUUUUAGUCUCUACUUGAGACUCAUUUUUGGCAUACUAAACUUCGGAAUUUGAGAAAGCCUAUUUCUAUCAAAAUUGUAGAUCUUUGAGUUAUCUUUCCAAUGCACUUUAAAUCACUUCAAUCAAAUAUCGAGAAAGAACGUUAUGACCAAAAUACUGAAAUCUGUCUGGCGAAAAAAGUGUUUGAACUAUGCGAUCGCAUAGUUCAAAAUCUAUGCGGUCACAUAGUAGUAUUCAGAGACUUCAAGUGGGCAUUUUGGCAUAACUAUGUGGUCUCAUAGCUUUGUACUAUGCGGUCACAUAGACCAAAGUAUGGAAUCGAUCCUACAGUUUCCUAUUUUCGAUAUAACUCUUUUGGAACUUGAUUGAGACGUGAUAUAAAAACCUAGAGCCGUCAUAUUUCUGGAGGGAAUGCAUUGAAGGAGAACAAAACACAUCUUGGAGACGAAUUUGAGGGAGAUUAACGAAAGAUUUCACGAAGAUUAUCAAGAUUUCACGCGUAUAUAUAAUUCGGUGAUGUUUUAUCUUCAAGAAUUCAUGUAUUCCUUUAUGUUUUCCAUGCUAGGCUAGAAAUUCUUGUACUGGGAGAUCGAUGAAUCUUGUAAUGUGAUUCUUAAUUCAUUGUUUCAUAUUUUUGACAUUAAAACACGUUUGAUCAUUUUGAAUGAUUUAUAUGCAUUUAAUUUCUUCCGCAAUUAAUGGCCCGUAAUUGUGUGAGUUUUGGUGACUUAUUUCUUGCAUUCGAGAGAAUGGAAAUAGGUUCAGCAAGGUAUAAAUCAUCGUAAAGUCCAAUAGAGGAUAGAGAUAUACCGUUAUGCUCUGCGUGAAUUAUUAAGUGCUUACAAAACUACAAGCAUUUUUGUAUAUUUGCACCCGUCAUAAAGAUAUAGGCUAGUAGUAUAUAAGAGUAAGUUCAAUUUUGCUCGAGAGAGACUGCUAGAUAGAUUCAGGAGCAUUGAUUCCUCAUAAUUUCAACGUGUUGUCAAAAUUAAUGAACUAUGGUUAAAUUGAGCAUUGCUUGAGGAUUCGUAAUCCUAGUGCGUUAUACAUUAAUUGAAUUCAUUAAUUUGUAUUCCAAACAUUCAAUUUGCAUCUUUAGUAUAUCUAAGCUUCAAUUUGCAUUUUAAUUCAUUCAAGUCAUACACAUUUGCGUACCUAGUUUAGGUUAAGGAUUAGUUAAGCUAAAAAAAAAAAAAAAAAUCACUUUUGACAUUCUUGUUUCGGUUAAGGUCAAGAUAAAUAAAAUUAAGCUACUCAAUCUCUGUGGGACGAUAUUUGAAACUCUAAAUUCCACUUUAUUAUUUGUUAACGAACCGUACACUUACAGUGAAUUAAAUCAAAAGAAAAUAUUUCGUGAACACUCAUAUGGCGAUGACUCAAUUUUCAUCAUGCAAUUUCAAUCACCGGAGUCCUACAUAUAAAAGGGUCAAAUUAACUCAUAACAAAGUUGAUUUCUUAAAAUAAAAAUUUCAAACCUAAAUGCUAUUAACUAUGUUGUCAAUCCAUUUGUAAUCAAAGCAUACAACGAAGCUACAACAUAAUAUGUUAAAAAUUGAUUUAAUAUUUUCUAAUUAAAAUAUGAUUAACAAAAUUUCUCCCACCUCGAACAAAAUUAAAAGCUACUACUCAUCCUAUAUAAACUGGGAAGGACUUCCCCUUUGGUGUUUCCUCUUACAAUUCAAGAAAUAGUUAUAAUCUUUUGAGAGGGUUUGCUCAGUACGUGUUUUUUGAGGUUUGGAGAAUGUACUGUGAUUGUUAUAAUUUUUCAGAAAAUGCAAUCUCCAUUUUAAGUAUUUUUUGAAGAAGAUCUUGAGAUGAAUCACAACAUUGGUUCAUAUCACUCGAAAAUCCUCGGUACAAGCAUGAAGAAUAGAAUAAUAUUAUUUAACACAAGUGAUGUUAUAACACAAGUCUAGUCUAGUCCAGACGUUUUAAGUGAUAUAUAAAAAAUAAGUAAAAGUCAUAACCAUUCAUAGUUUACAAGCCAGAUGGAGAUUCAAACAUUGUAUAAGUUACUUCAAUACAGAGUGAUUUUAAGAGCAUUUUGGGGAUAUAUGACUUAACUGUGGCUUCUGAGGAAGUUGAGAAUAAGUUCAUUCACCUGGGCAGGCAGUUGCUCUUGAACAAAAUGAGUUCCUUCUGGAAUGAAAUUUAUCUCCAAGUUUGGCACAAAUGUUUUCACUUUUCCGCUCUUUACGUAAUCCACCAUUUCUGUAAAAUUCAAGGCGUAAUCUUUCUCUCCUAUGAUCAGCAGAGCCGGAACUUCAACUUUUGGAUCUGGCUUAUUAAUAUCUUCAUGAAAUGACCUAAAAGAGAGUGAAAUCGAUAUAUUAAUGUAAUAGUGCAUCAAUGAGAUGUUACGGCCUAACAACACGAGCAAACGUAAAGUAAAUCAGAAAAUAAGCAAAUAACAAACAAAAAUGUAACCCUCAAUGCGAAGAUUACUUCCAUAACCACUGUAGAAUUUUGAAUACGUAAGUAAUCCUUCACAUAUGUAGAACUAUUAGGGAGAUUUGCCUACCUAUAAGGAACCUGCAAUGCAGUUUGGAAUCCCGAUUUCUCAUACAACAUUCCAUAGGUCGCGAUAUCUUCCUCAGUGACCCAAGAGGGUAAAGGAGUGGAUGAGUCCACAAGGUCCAUGAUCUCCUGGUCUUCACGAGCCAUUGGUAUUUCACUUUUGGAGAACAGGAUAUAAACAUUCCUCACUACAGUUUUGGCAUCGAAACGACCAAAAUCAGAUUCAGCACGCCCGGGCUCCUGUGAGAAGAACACUAACAUGAAGUUAGAAGUAGCCAACUCAGGUUAUCUAAAAAGGCAAACAAAAAAAAGCAACAUUGAACCUUCCAUCUCGACACAUAGAAUCCUUCAGGGAGGGGCCAAGUGAGAAAAUGAGGAAGGUAGAAUGGAAGUCCUAACGUCAUGAACCCCGAGACCCUGUCCUGGUAGAGAACAACAAACAUAGAAGCUACCAUAGCUCCAAAAUCUUUAGCAACCAGAAAAGCCUGCAUAAUUUAGCACGUGGGCACGCGCGUGGCAGAAAGAGAUGGGGAGAUAAUGUUAGAGAUUAUGUUUAUUCUUGAUUCAGUUAAAUUAACAGAAUCAUUAUUAUGUUUUGUACCAACAUCAUAUCAAUUAUGUGAGAAACACAAAGGAGCAUUUCCUACAAAGGUCAUAACAACUCUCAGAUUUACUUUCUCUUGCUAUAAAGAAAUUAUCUUGCAAAACUCCAGGUUUAAAUGAAAAAUAUGAGGAACUACCGUCCAAAAUGGAAUAAAAAGAAGUUGGAACAUUCUUUGCCAGAUAAAUUAUUGUUUUUUAACUGACCUGUUCAAUUUUAAAAAUGCCUAAAACGUUUAGGAGCCCCAAAUAUUAUCUAAUUUCUCAUCUCACAAUUACUGACGCCAUUUCAUUUAAAACAUAGAGAAUAUGUGUAUAGGUAAGAGCCUGUUUGUCUCCCAUAAUUGAAGAAAUUAUAGAGUUUUGAAUAGUAUUUUUUGGAGAAUGUAUGGUUAAAAUUUAAAGAAACUUUAUUGGUUUGUGUGUAGAACAUUUUAUUCUGUGAAUGUGUGGUGGAGAAUCUUAAUGUAGCAAACAAUUUAUUUGUUAAAUGAUGACAAACAGGGCUUAAUAUUAUUCUACACUUCUGAACUAACUUAGAUAUCCUCCCAGAAAACACGAAUUAUAAGUCCCCUUCACGAUCAUAAUCUUUUCGUACUUUUGUCAUUUGCAACUUAAAAUGGAUCAACAAAUAUAUAUAGGGGGAUAUUAGUAAAUACUGGCACCAACAAUUAGACCUUGAGUUUCCUUCUUCUAUUUUUUUUUUUUUUUUUUUUUUUUUUGGCAAUUUUCUAGGAAAAUGAGCAUGAGAAAACAGAAUACCAGUACAAUAGUGCUUUUGUACAGUCGUAUUACUAUCACACUGAGCAGAAAAAGGACCUAAUUGUAACAUUCACAUGUCAUCCCGAAAACAGACUUCCAUGAAACUAAUCAAAUCUCUGUAAUCCGAGAGGCAGAUAAUCUUGCUGGUGGUAUUUUACUUUAAAACAAGCAAUAGAUGUGUAGAAAAAAGAUAAGGAAAGGUUUCCAUUUAGUCAAAAGCAGGAGUGUAAGAAACGGUUGAGUCAGAAAAUCUAAUUUGGCAAUAAAAAUACAUAUGAUGGUGAUGGAAAAAAUGUUUUUAACAUUGUAGUGUUAGUAAAAAGGUACUUUGGCGUGAAAAUAGUAAUAAAUAAAUAAGACUUUAAUUUUGAAUGAUAAGUGCAAUGUAUGCACUUACUUAGGUCAUAUUACUAAACCUUUAUGUCGUCAAAUUAUUAACUUUUACUUAAUUUGGGUUAAUUUUCUUUCAUUUGAAUGUUAGUCCCAUUUUAACUUUUAAGCAACCAGAAAAGAAAGAAUGAUCGAUUGGCUAUUAAAUAGAAGUUUGUGGACUAAACCUCACCUAAAUAAAAGUUAAAGGAUAAAAAUCGACGAGAGAAUGAAGAAAAUGACUACCUUGCAUGACAUGGAAGAAUUGAGGAGUCAGAAGCAAGAAUUAAUCUAAUUGUGCAUUUUUGUAUUUACUUGGACUUGCAAUUGGAUUGAAAUACAACCAAUUUGCUAGUUAAAAUAUAUAAACACACGAGACAAAGGCUGAGACCAAAUUGGAAAGAAAAAAGGGAUUGAAUUUAAAAGGAGUUGGUUUCCUUUUUGGACUCAAAAGGCUGAGGUUAUAUAUAUAUAUAUCAAUGUUUUAAAAACCCGAAAAAGGGUCAAGGUCAAAGGAUCGAACCGGAAGUGAAAAAGUAAAGAUAAGUAAAUAUUUUCAAACACUAAAAAAGAUAAUAUAACAAUAUAACAUUGCUAAUUAAUGUUAGAAUAAUUUAUAUUUUUUAUUAAUUAAGGAAACAUAGAAAAAUAAUUAAUUAACUCAAUGGAAUAAACUAUAAAUAUUAAAUACACAUACUAGUGUAAUACACAGUAACACAAUCAAAGGUAAGAAUCCCACAUCAGAAUUUUGUAACUGAAGCACUAGAAAUGAUGCCUAUAAAUAACUAGGCCAACAGAGGCAUCAUAGUCUUCCUGGGCCUAACAAGUAUUUGGUUGGAAUUUUUGGGUUUGAGCUUCAAACUAUCUUGGAAAUCUCAAUAUUUUCGAAAGGGACUAUGCCUUUUCGUUACUUGGGUAUUCCUCUUGCAUCGGAGAAGCUCAAAGUGAGUUCUUAUGCACCGUUUCUUCAAAAAAUAGUGGGUUAUAUUGGAGCUUGGAGUUGUGCAUCCUUAUCCUAUGCCGGCAAGUUGGAACUCAUUAGGGCCGUGCUUCAAGGUGUUGAAUGUUUUUGGCUUUCUAUCUUCCCCAUUCCGGCUACAAUUAUUUCAAGAAUUGUUAGCCUUUGUCGGAACUUCCUUUGGGGAUCAAAGAAGUCAUUGGUUGCAUGGAAGAAUCUAUGCCUUCCUAAAGCGAAAGGGGGCCUUGGAUUGAAAGACUUGAAGACUUGGAAUUUAGCGUUACUUGCUAAAUCCCUUUGGAACAUCCACAAGAAGAAGGACACCUUAUGGAUUAGAUGGGUUCAUCAUGCUUAUCUUAACGGCACUUGUAUUUGGGAAGUUCGACCUAAAAAGGAUCACUCCCCACUUUUCAAGAAAUUGCUUGAAAUCAGGGAUUUUAUUUCUGCCAGACAUUCUGCCCAGCACGCUGAAAUUCCGAGACAGCAACAUGAAACGGUGGCUCCUCAUUUUCAGACCGAUCGGGGGGUUAACGGGGACACGUCCACUGAUGGUAGGGCAGUAAAUGGACAUUUUUUUGGUGCUGAGAGUGCUCUGCACGACCAGAUUUCUGGGGCUUCGUUUGACAGGAUUUCUGGCCGGGAAACUGUUUUCUUCGGUAGGCAGUUUUUUGAAUCUUCAACUCAAAAUCUGGGCUGUUCUAUGCAUGAUAAAUUCUCAACAAAAAUUGCCUAUGAUUACUUUAGGCAUAAAGAUACUUUGAAGCCGUGGGGAGGAGAAGUUUGGAAACCGUGCAUCACUCCGAAGCAUUCUUUCUUGCUUUGGCUAACGGCCCAAUCAAAGCUGCUAACUAAAGACAAACUACUCUUCUUGGAUAUUGAUCGGAGGUUUGUUUUUUGUGGACUUUUUGAGGAAACUUGUGACCAUCUAUUCUUUAAGUGCUCCUUAACUUCCUCAUUAUGGAGGAGCAUUAGGAGAUGGCUUGGCAUCGCAAGAUCUAUGUCUACACUUGCCAUUGCGCUAAAGUGGAUGAAAAAGGAGAAUCGUGGAACUUCGUGGCUGACCAAGACGAAGAGAGUGGCUUUUGCUAGCACAGUUUACUACAUAUGGCUUACGAGGAAUAGGAAGAUUUUUGAAGACCUCCCGGCCGACUUGGAUUCUAUUGCUAGAAGGAUCAAGACACACGUAUACAAAGUCAUGUUUACUUUGUAUCCGGAUGUCUUGAUUCUUUUUGAAUCCUUGGCCGUGGAUCAUUGAUCUUUUAUGUAUUUUGCCUUCUUUGUGUCUCCCGGGUAUGCCCGGAGUAGUUGUUUUCAUUUUGGAUUUUGAUUUGCCCGGGAAUGCCCGGUGUGCUUGUACUUAUCAUUGACUUUGAUUCGCCCGGGUAUGCCCGGUGUACUUGUAUUUGAUUAUGGACAUUGUCUCGUCCGGGUAUGCCCGGUGUAUUUGUACAUUGUACAUUUUUGAUCAAUAUAUUCACAUUUACCGAUCAAAAAAAAAAAAAAAAAAGUAUUUGGUUGGAAGUUGAAAAGGUCAUAGUUUAUAUAAAACAAUUAAAAACCGGCAGAACCGGAUAAUCCUGUUUUGUGUAACCGAUUAAUGGUUAAACCAGUCAAAUGAACGGUUUUUUACCGAUUUUGAAUCAAAUGGGUUUUAAGCUACAACGGACCACAUUUUGUACCGGUUCAUGGGUUUUUCGAUUGAAAUGGUCGGUCCGUUUCGACCCAGUUUUAAUGACAUUGAUAUAUAUAUAGAAGGAGACAACAGACAAAGGAGGGCUGGAAAGAUAAUUUCGUGAACAUCGAACUUUUACAAGAGUUGGUUAUUUAAUACUAAUGGAGAAACCAAAAGUCAUCGGUUUAUGAAAUUCUAUUAAUUUGGUACAUUUGAAUAUAUAAAUAUUAAUAUAUUUUCAUUUUGAUGCUCUCUAAAAGAGUGAUGCUAUUUAGUACAAUCAGUGUUAAAACACCAGUUUGAGUGGCGCUAAUGUGGCAUUGAAUGAAAUAUACAAUUAAAUGAGUUACUUAAAUCUACAUUACAAUCACUCCACCUAGAUUGGUGUUGUAGCAUCAAUGAUGUUAGAAA
rnacentral:lncRNA from 1 species